CCAACGUCAAGAAGCCUGAUACAGAUUUUGACUUCUACAAGUGAGGCAACGAAGUGUUAGAGAUGAAUUUGUGGAUAGUCAGCCUCUAUGCGACGUUAAUAUCCUUGUAUCCUGCAUGCCCCCAAUCUAUUUGAUCAGAUUCAACUACUGUUUUAUUUUGUGUUUCUAGUUGGAAAAGUAUAAAGGGCGUGCACGUUCAAUCUCACGAGUGUUGUAAGCUACUCCCUCCGUUCCAAAAUAGAUGACUCAACUUUGUACUAUCUUUAAUAUAAAGUUGGGUCAUCUAUUUUGGAACGGAGGGAGUACUUGUCUGCCAAGUUUCGCUUGACCAUUGCGCGCUUGUGGUCGAUGUUGUGAUUGUCUUCCCCAGUUAAAUAGGAACACUAUUUCUAAAUUUAACUUUUCCAUGUUGGACCAACAUAUACCCUUGUCGCUGACUUAGUACUGAAGUUGUAGUACUACCUCCAUUCCUGAUAAAUACUUCAUUAAAAACUAAUGUACGAAAAUCCGACAUUUCAGUAAAACGCUGCCCGAUUCGAUUGGACUCUGCAACUCUAUUUUACAUGAAUCAUCCAUUUAAAAUAAACUUGAUAAAAACAUAUAACCGUAUACAGUACGCAGUAAACUGCGGUGGUUCUUAAACAAACAUCCUACUCCACACACGAAGCGCGUGGAACACAUCGAACGGCCUCUGCCUCGGGCCGGACCGAUCACCACCUGCACGGCGCCAGUGCGGCGGCUUCUUCCCACUAGGCGCCGGAGGGCGAGACGGCUUGCGCGACCCACCAACCCCGGGGACGGGACCCCACCGCCCAGCCGGCCAACGAUAGUGCGGCGGCGGCGGCGGCGGCGGGCGCGCGGCUGACCGGCGCAACUCAUCGCCCGGCGUUCCUGGGGCGACUUCCUCGUCGCCGUCCCCACUCCGUCGCGGUCCGUACCUCACCAUAGCCGCCUCUCCGGCCUCCUCUGCUGCUCCCGGGCGAGGCAGCGGAGAGAGGCGCAGAUGGUCUACUACUGCGUGUAGGAGUUCUUGCACAAGCGAACUGAGAUGGUAAUGGCGAGAGGUAUGUGCACCAAGUCCAAGUGGUCUGGCCUCGAAUGGUGGAGUGUUGAGAAAGAAGAAGAUGAGUACAAGCGUGAGAGCAAGUGAGAGCUUCAUGGCUUGAGAGUUGAGACUGCGUGCACCAAGCAGAGAGGAAUGGGCGAGCAAGGCCAGAGCUACACACUUAUAUAUAGUAGUAAUUCCUUACCGGCGGUUGACACUGGGCUGGGGUUAGAGAAAGACUGGUCAUAUGACCAUGUGACAAUUGAACAGUCAAGUCAAAACGCCGCGUAGUUUGAUCCAUCUUUUGUUUGCAUUAUAUACCAGACAAGGGAAUCGAGAGCUCUUGGGUUGUUCAGAUGCCGCGCUCUCUGUCGCAAUAUACCUUCUUCUUUCCUCGCUGCUGACUCCGCCAAUCAUUUCAGCAUUGCACACGAUUGAAACGCAUAGCUGCACCUGCACCUGCACCGAAAUUUUAUUGGUACUACUAAUAAUAUAAUUAGCAGGGUGACCAGCUCCAUGUUUAUGGUGGAAAUGUUACAACUUACUUUUUGCAAAUUGGUUGGAAAGCUAGUGGAGCAGCGGUUAAUUACUGUAGUUUUUUCUAGGAAGUUUAUAGUCUCUCCUAAGGGCUUCUCUAGCUCAUCCCCAAAAGUUUAAUAUGGGGCAAAAGAUAUUUUGUUUGGGGAAUUAACACCCAUCUUCCCACAAAAAAUAAAAUAAAUAAAAGUCAAACAAUUAACACCCAUCUAGCCGUCCACCAUUUCCUUUAGUGUUUCAAAAAAUAGCUUUUCAUUCCUCAUAUUUUUCCUCCUCUGUCUCGUAUUUAUUCUAGCAGAGACAACUCUCCUAAACAUGGUGNNNNNNNNNNNNNNNNNNNNNNNNNNNNNNNNNNNNNNNNNNNNNNNNNNNNNNNNNNNNNNNNNNNNNNNNNNNNNNNNNNNNNNNNNNNNNNNNNNNNNNNNNNNNNNNNNNNNNNNNNNNNNNNNNNNNNNNNNNNNNNNNNNNNNNNNNNNNNNNNNNNNNNNNNNNNNNNNNNNNNNNNNNNNNNNNNNNNNNNNNNNNNNNNNNNNNNNNNNNNNNNNNNNNNNNNNNNNNNNNNNNNNNNNNNNNNNNNNNNNNNNNNNNNNNNNNNNNNNNNNNNNNNNNNNNNNNNNNNNNNNNNNNNNNNNNNNNNNNNNNNNNNNNNNNNNNNNNNNNNNNNNNNNNNNNNNNNNNNNNNNNNNNNNNNNNNNGUCCGUCGCGGCAUUGCAGCCCCACGACCCCCAUCAUCUCCAUCGAACUUUAUUUUUCACCUUUUCAUCUUACCCAUUGCCUCCGGCCACAGCGGCACUUCUCCCCGGCGACGCUCCUCCCCCAUUGUCCCCGGACAUGAGCAAAGCCACACCACACCGAAGGAGCACCUACAGAGGAAAACCUCAAGUACAUAAAGAAAACUGCCAUUGUCAAUUCCAAAGAAUCCUUGUGUUUUGAACCACACCAUCGCACCGGGGAAGGACGAGGAGAAUAACCCGUUUAGACAAACAAACACCCAAUCCAUGGCCUGUGGGGGACGGCUCCUUUGUCACACACUUACGCCACGCUUUAUGAAAUUACUUUUGCCAAUCAUCUAUCCAAUGCCCCUAGCUCAUAGACAUCAUCUAGUGGCGAGAAUUCAUCGUUGAUUGCGUAGAAGGAAGAAGAAUAAAAUGAAGAGAGACUUCCAUAUGGGAUCGAGUAGGUUUGCGGAGUUAGGUUUGGAUAAUGAGCUAAUUGGACAAAAGUUUAAUUUUCGAAAAUAUGAAGAAUUAAAGGAUGAGACAUAGGAUGGAGAACUUAUGGUGAUGGGCUAAAGAUGCCCUAAGAGAAACUCUAGCAGAUUCUUCAUAUUGGUCCUUCAUAACACAUAUGUAGCCGGUUCCAUAAUGUUUUAAAGGCCGCGGAGACUGUGUGCAAACAUAGAGUUGCAGUAAUGUAGCCUUCAUAUUUUCCUGCAAUUAGGACCCCCAUGUCAUUGGGUCAUAAAUUCUCUCUAGCGUACCACACCAACUUAGAUCAAACAAUGAGAAUAACUCAACAAAUAGUAUUAUAAACCAUUAAUGCGAAUACAACAGAUGAUCCAAAUUAACAAAUAUUACUACAAACCAUAAUCAACGAGAUUUGUUUGUUGCUGAAAGAAAGGUUCACUGAUGUGCAUGUCAUCAGCAAUUCGAUGCAACCAGUCGGUCAUGUGUAAGCUUCCCCAGAACACGUACGGAGGGAAGGUACAACCCAACACAAGGUAGUCGGGCAUGAGCUGCUCGUGUGCGGUGAACCUGUUCCGCCAAAAUUUCGCACGACCGACUCACGAUCGUGGACGCCCCUCGAUCGUGGAUGCCUCUCUUCCUUGCAGUUGAUGCUAUCCAUUCAACAACCAUCAAUAUUACCUCGUCUUAUUCGACGUCCAUUACCUCACUCUUGGACUCGGAGCUCGAAUUUGAUGACGAAUCAUAAAAAAACAUUAGCUCCAGCAUCGGAUCCAUCUACACAUAUUGUGAAUCAUAUGUCAUCUACAUGAAUUUAUGAGUCACUAAACUAAAUCUAGAACAAAAGGAAGGAGAAAUGUACCUUGAGGUCACGCGAUGGAAGGGGUGCCAUGGCGGGACGACGAGAGGAAGGCGCGGAGCUGCGGCGAAGCGUGGGAGAUCUUGAACAGUUUUAGUGGUGGUGACUGGGGCCAAAUCAUGGCGGGCGGAGCGGUGAUGGUGGCACCAAACGAAUGGGGCGCGGGGAUGUGGGCUACAAGAGAAGGGAGCAUGCAUCCUGAAAUGUCUGUGACGCCAAUAUUUGGAUGGAUGAAGGCCGCCAAACCGCCUUGCCCAACCUCCAAAUAUGGACUCUUGUAGGCUUAAUUUGGAGUGAGCUCCAAAGAUUAUGCGAUCCAGGGCCAUAUCAUGGUUUUGCUAAAGAGGCAUUGUUUUUGCAACAAUUGUCAAAUCGACGUUUAUUAGGCCGAUGGAGCGAUGACUCUCUAUGGUUGAGCCAAAAAUUAUGAUAAUCGACAGCCGUAUGGCUAGAGUCGCUCUAAUUCAUACUUGGCGUCUCUAAAUACACUAAACAACAUAACCUUUUAAUUCAAAAAUAGGCCGCUGGAUCCUCCACACAUGUACGAACGAGCGGUCGAUGAUAUAUUGGGCCGGCCAAUCUAAGCAUGUUUUCUUGUUCGGUUUUAUCGGUUUUGGGAACCUUUGUUCCUAAACAAGGGAUUUUCUGUUGAUUGUCUAUUAGGUUUUCCAGUUUCUUUUUUGGUUUUUAUUCUGCUGUUCAUUUUUUCUUCAAAAAAAAAUCACAAAUUUCAAUAUCUUUCAAACUCUUUUGAAAUUAGAAAAUUGUUAGGAAUUUUAAAAAUUAGUUCCAUUAAAAAAAAUGCUUGGAAUUUAAAAAAUUGUGCCUGUUUUUUCAAAAGCUGUUCAUUUUUUGUUUUUCUGAAUUAAAAAGUGUUUGGAUUAAAAUACCUAAUUUUCAGGUAUUCUUCAUUUUUUCAAAAAAGGUUAGAAUUUCAAAAUUUGUUCACACUCCUAAAAAAGUGUUCAAAUUUUAAAAAUCAGUUCGUUUUUUGCGAAUUUUUUUCUAAAUUUCAUUUUUUUCCAAAAAUUUCCAAAAACAUUCAUAAACUUGAAAAAUACUCAUAUGAUGCGAAGCUACAGUAAUCAUACAGUAACACCCGGACAACAAUAAUUGCUACAGUGAUCUCGCUGCACUGAACAUUGUUACAGUCAGUGAUUGUUUGAUAUAGCACUAAUGGGCCGGCGGCCCAGCCGUGCUGCCCCUGGACGCAAUAAGCAGUGCCCCUCACUCCUCGUCCUGGCGACUGCCGCCGCCGCACCGCCGCCGCCGCACCGCCGCCGCCGCCGCCGCCUAGGAGACCGGAAUCUCGAUUAGCCCUGCCGGCCAUCGCCUUCACGCUAGCCAUCAUCAACACCAACACCGCAACCUGAGAGCCUGGGCAUGCCAUGAGUAUGGGAUCGGAGCCUCGGCAAUGCCGCCGUCCCUGCGCCAUCGCCAUUGACCAACCCAGGCGGCCGGAGCUCCCACGAGGAGAUACACAUGCUCUGAUAGACUGAGCUCUUCCUAGCCCGGACGCAAAGCUGUUCUAUUCCACAUCUCGGAGGGGAAGAACCGCGCGCGACAAUGGCCAGGGCCGCCGACUACUACUCUCUCCUCCAGAGCUGCAUGGGCUGCUUCCGGCAGGGCAGGUCCAUCCACCACAGGCUCCUCGCGUCCGCCUCUCCCCCGGACCUGCACCUCAGCACCAAGCUCGUCCUCUUCUACGCCAAGCACGGUGACGUGGCCGCCGCCCUCAGGGUGUUCGACGGAAUGCCGCACCGGAGCGUCGUGUCCUGGACGGCCAUGGUCUCGGGCUACUCCAGGAACGGCCGCCCCCGGGAGGCGCUGGAGCUGUUCGCCCUCAUGCACACGUCCGGCGAUGCCAGGCCGAACCAGUUCACGUAUGGCAGCGUGGCCUGUGCGUGCGCGGUGGCUGGGUGCGUCAGGAGCGGGGAGCAGGUGCAUGCAUGCACGGCCAAAGGGAGGUUUGCUGGGGACAUGUUCGUGCAGAGCGCUCUCAUGGACAUGUACCUGAGGUGCGGGUCGGUGGAGGAUGCGAGGCGGAUGUUUGCGGCGAUGGAGAGGAAGGAUGUGGUUUCGUGGAAUGCCUUGCUCAGGGGUUUUGUGGAGCGUGGGCAUUGCAGUGACGCGCUUGGGUUGUUAUCCUCAAUGCUGAGAGAAGGUAUAUGCUCGCAACAAAACCUGCUACUCACUGCACUGCCUUGAAAUGUGCGGUCCCGCUCACGUACUGCUACCAAAACCUCAAAUCCAUGCCCUUCAUUGUAAUUGUAGAUUUGUAGUGUGUCAUGCAUACCAUAUUUUAUUUUAGUUAAAAGCAAUAAUAUGAUAUACAAAAUUUGGGACUCCCCGAGUGUACAAUUUUUUCACAUAGAAAUGUACCAGACAGGGUAACCAAAAUUGUUACUCAUCUCUGAGGUAACGUUCACAUAAAAUUAGCACUUUCAACCAAUAAAUAAAUAAAUCCCCUGUUCAAUUUCUGUUUGCCUUUUAGGCUUGUUAGUUUAAAUUUCUGUUAUACUGUUGUUUGAAUAUUGGAAGUGCAUUUUUUCCUUGAUUGUUAACCAUUGACAUAAAAAAAACUUGACAGAAAUGCUGCCUGACCAUUUCACGUUUGGAAGUGCUCUAAAAGCUUGUGGAGUAGUCAGUGUGCUCACUAACACGGAGCUGAUUCACACUUGCAUAAUAAAGUUGGGCUACUGGGGUGAAAAGGUUGUUAUUGGAUCACUUAUUGAUGCUUAUGCAAAAUGUCGGAGCAUGAAAAGUGCACGAGUGAUAUAUGACUCCAUAUGUGAACCAGACCUUGUGUCGUCUACUGCGCUGAUCAGUGGGUACUCCAUGGAUAAAAACCAUACUGAAGAUGCAAUGGAGCUCUUCUGCAAGAUUUAUCGUAGGGGUUUGAGGAUUGAUGGUGUUCUGUUAAGCUCCUUGCUUGGCAUUUGUGCUAAUGUGUCAUGUCUCAGAUUUGGGACACAAAUUCAUGCUUACAUGUGCAAAAAGCAGCCAAUGGGAGACGUGGCAUUGGACAACGCUCUAGUUGAUAUGUAUGCAAAGGCAGGCGAAUUUUCAGAUGCCAGGCGUGCUUUUGAUGAAAUGCCCUGCCGAAAUGUGGUCUCAUGGACUUCACUCAUUACUGCCUGUGGGAAAAAUGGUUUUGGGGGAGAUGCUGUGAGCCUUUUUGAGAGGAUGGUGGAGGAUGGUGUGAAGCCAAACGAUGUGACAUUCCUUUCUCUUCUGUCUGCUUGUGGUCAUUCUGGUCUGAUGAGCAAAGGGAUGGAGUAUUUCACUUCCAUGAUGGGCAAGUACGGUAUUGAUCCGAGAGCUGAGCAUUUCAGUUCUGCUAUCGACCUUCUUGGCCGUGGGGGUCAGUUAGAGGAUGCGUGGAAGCUAGUGGAGAAUGUGGAUACUGAACCCAACUCCUCAAUAUUGGGCGCUAUGCUUGGAGCUUGUAAAACGCAUGGAAACAUGCCUCUUGGAGAAACUGCAGCCAAGAAUCUUAUAAGUAAAGGUGCUGAGAGUUCUGUACACUAUACCAUGCUUGCAAACAUGUACGCAGAAUCUAAUUUAUGGGAGGAUGCUCAAAGUGCAAGGAAAUUAAUGGCUGAAACAUCUGGUGGCAAGGAAGCUGGUUGCAGUGUUCUCUGAAGAUUACUAAUAAAGUCUUGCUUUCCAAGAUAUUCAGAUAAUGGUCAUAUGCCCUGAUAGAUGCACCAAAUGCAUCUGGAUUACCCUCAGACCUUUGUCCACAAUGAACCUGACCAAUCCAAUAUGUAGAGCCUCCAGAUCUUUGUAAACUCUAACCGACUUCAGAAUCUUGCCCGUUUGAUUAAGCAGUGAGAAUCUAAUGACUUAUCAGCAGCCAUCAUGUUCGUUCAGGGUAAGUGCACAUUGUGCUUAAUAUUAAAAAUAAAAACUUUUGUAUAGUUUGUUCAUUUGGAUAAUCUGUUGGGUUACAUUCCCUGUGAAUGCAUAUCUUGCAAAUUUUACUAACUGUAAAAGAUUUGCGGAUGCAUGUUUGUCUGAUAAAGUCUUGUCAGUAUUCUCAAUUAUGUCCGUUGUAUUGGUUGGACAGUCACAGGCUUAUGGUCUUAAUCCUUUUUUUUGACUUCCAAGUUGUCUCUAUCUGAUACCUAUAAGAAUACUGUAAGAACAUGUAGUGGAUAAACCAGUUUGUGAUUCCCUUCUGUACAUAACUAUAGUGCGAUACCCUGUUUUUCCACUCUACGUUAUCCAUUUCUCUUUUGAUGUGAGUACAAAUAUUGAGUAGUUUUUCAAAUAGAUGGAUACAUGAUUUAUGACUAAUCUGUUAUCCUUCCUUUAUAUGUUGAAUCUGACAGUGCCAAUAUCAUGGCCUUGAUCUAUUGCAUACCCUGUGUCGGUGUCGAGUGAAGCAGAUCUUAAACUUUUAAGUCUCGAGAAACCAAAAGCCACCACGUUUCAGCUACUCAGUGAAUAAUUGAAUAUAUUAUUCGAACCCAUGUGCUGUUGACUUAAGUUUUUUCUGUUGAGUUGAUUUACCUAGUAAAAUAUGCUAAUCACUACUUUUGAUCUAAACUGCAAAAAUAUUUUUUUUGUAUCAUUGUAGAAGAUCUUAUAUUUGUUGAAAAUGGCAUACAUUUUUUCAGUAUCAUAUUGUAGUAUAGUCCUGACUGAUACACCGAUCUUGGUUGUCAGCUCGAUCAUGACGAAUCAUAGAACUGAAACGUCUUCUUUUUUUAACUUGCACGCAUUUGACGAGCGGUUGCUGCUCUAUGAACUAGCAUAAUACGGUUAGUCUUCUUUCAAAUGGCAUCUAAGGAUAAUUAUUACCCAGAAUCAGUCGUUCCCUAAAUAAUAUUAAAAUAGGGGAUGAUAACAGCUAGCAACUUACAGUUCAAGUAUUUGAUUUGGCACUUUUUAGGAACAUGCCAUUGUCACAUCUUAAGAGUGUCGGUUACACAAGUGCAUGGGCCACGAUGGAUGGUUAUCAUUCGUCCAAUGCCUGUUGGCUAAAAUAGCUCGUAACUGGCAGAUUACAGAUCCUUAACUUCUGGAACACUUGCUAUCCCAUCAUUACUCCCUAGAUGCCUCAUCCGAGACUAUUCUACAAUUCUUUCACAUCCACGCUAACCACAGAAUUCCUGAAAUACUGAUAUUCAAUCAUAUGCUGAAGUCUUAGCCAGUCUACUGGCUGUGUGAUAUAAGAAAAUAGCACAGCUGUAAAGGCAUGUAGGCUUCUAGAGCCAUUAUACUAAUAUUGAGCAAAAUGGCUUGCUUACUAUCACUUAUGUGCAAGCUAAGCAACUGAACUAUAUAAAGCAGGCUGUGAGGUGAGCUCUAGUUCACCUAAAAAAUCAGCAAGGGCAUUCACAACAUGGUUUACAGACUCCUCUUUGGAUUUCUCCUUCCUCUUGUCUUACAGCCCUCCUUAGUGUUAUGCAAUCCACCAGAGCUGAAGGUUGGCUUUUACCAAUACACAUGCCCGUAUGCAGAGGUCAUUGUUCGCGAUGAGAUUGCCAGGAUCAUCUCCCACGUCCCAAGCCUCGCUGGUCCUCUGCUUCGCAUGCACUUCCACGACUGUUUUGUGAACGUGUGCACACACCUUAGUCUCUUCUGAACUGCUUCAGUUGAAUUUAGAGAUGUACUGAACUGUUUGUGCUGUGCAGGGUUGCGAUGGUUCUAUUCUGCUUGAUAGCAUACCAGGAUUACCAUCUGAAAAGGAAUCGGAACCGAACCUCAGCCUGCGAGGCUUCGGCACAAUUGACCUUGUCAAGGCUAAACUGGAGCAAGCCUGCCCUGGAGUGGUCUCAUGCGCUGAUAUCCUAGCUCUCGUGGCAAGGGAUGUUGUACUACUGGUAAGAACUAGCAGUUUUGUUCAUUAGUUUUGAUCUUAUUCUUCAAGUAAGAUAGGUGACAUAGUUCGGAAAAAUGGCGGGGAUAAGACAAUUCAGGCCAGCACUGGUGGCAAAACCCACACAGUUUUGACGGGCUUCGCUGAGUUUGAUCAUCUUUUAUGUAUUUACUGGACAGUACCUGCUCUCUUGCUAACCCAACUUUCAUUUUCACUAUGCAACAGACCCAUGGGCCUUACUGGAAUGUUCCAACUGGGCGGCGAGAUGGGUUGAGAUCGGUGAAGGAUGAAGCUUUGAACAACCUACCUCCUCCUUUUUUUGAUGCCACUCGUAAUCUGAACCAGUUCUUUGUCCCGAAGGGUCUUGAUGCGAAGGAUCAGGUGGUUCUGCUAGGUAUAUACUAUUCAUCAGGAACUAAACUCAAUGCAUGAUCUAAUAAACUAGUGCAUCUUCUCUCCUAGUUUUGUGUAGCCUAUGCUCUUCUGAUUCUCUCUGUUUUAAUUUACUUGAACUUUGCCGAUCCCAACAAAUCUCUAGUAGCAUUCCCAAUAAAGGUGCUCGUUUGCAUGCAUGACUAAGCAAUGGGUUAAUCAAGCAAGGCCGUAUGCUGUAUGCAUGUGCAUAGUCAACAGAGACGGGAAAACUAAACUUUGUCGGUUCUUAUAGUUAAACUGCAUGAUGCAAAACCAAGAGUCACUUUGUUCUGGUAGAAAAACAAAGUAUAACUCCUUAUUCGCAAACCAGUACGUACUACAUUAUUUUUUGUUCAUUUUGCACGCGCAGAAGAGAUGGGGUAGAAAACCUCUGUAGUUCACUAUUAUAAACUAGUAAUGCGUUGCAAUUUUAUUUCUGAUUGUUGCAAAUAUUGCAGUUCAAGCUCUGCAGGAAACCAUGGAAACUGGCACAUUCUAACUUGUUCAUGCAUUUUGACAGGGGGGCACACCCUUGGGACCUCCCACUGCUCGUCCUUCUCGGACCGUCUGUACAACUUCAGCGGCACGCAGAUGCCGGACCCGGCGCUGGACAGGCGGUACGUGCUGCGGCUGAAGAGCAAGUGCAGGCCCGGCGACACUACGGCGCUGGUGGAGAUGGACCCGGGGAGCUUCCGGACGUUCGACGCGAGCUACUACCGUCACGUCGCCAGGGGGAGGGCGCUCUUCACCUCGGACGAGACGCUCAUGCUGGACCCCUUCACCCGGGACUACGUCCUGCGCCAGGCGUCCGUCGCCGCCGCGGGCGGCUACCCCGCGGAGUUCUUCGCAGACUUCGUGGCGUCCAUGGUGAAGAUGGGGAACAUGCAGGUGCUCACCGGCGCGCAGGGGGAGGUCAGGCGGCGCUGCGGCGCCGUGAACCAGAUGCGCAUGUAGGCCGCCGGCGGUGGUCCGUGAUCAUCGGCCCGUAAAUUAUCCAAAGUCUGUGGGUAUUGUAUAAUUGAUGUGUAUUACGCGUGUACAUUGUGUGCAUCAUUGUCUUUCUUCAUUUGCCUUGUUUGUUCGUUUGUACCAUGUAUUCAAAUUCAAAUAAAAAUGUUUGCUUGAUUGAUUCAGUGAAAUGAUGUCCUCUGCCAACCUCGAUGAACACACUACGACAGAGAGAAUUGGAGUUGUAUUUUCCGAUUAUUCUCGGCUCGUACACGGUACACGUACAGGAAACUUGAGGCUGGGAUGUGCUUUCUGGCAGAAGAGUUUACUUGGUGCUCUGGAUAUUCUAUUUCCGUAGGCCGUAGCUAGCUAGCUAAUGGAUUAAGCAUAACAACAAAUCAAGCUAGCUCCACAUGGAUGGGCGUGGACCACGCCAUCCACUCGUCAACUCUGCAAGCUUGUCUCACACUCCUUGUACACUUCCUUUCUAGCCUUUUGGUCUUUUUUUUGCGGAGAAGCCUUUUGGUCAUUAUUAUCCGGUAAAUUUGUUAAGGCCAGUUGUGAGUAAAAAGAAGACAAUUAAUUUAAUAAUUUUACGAGACCAGAUGUACGAUAAUUUCAGACAACUAAUAAUCAGCAACAUUUUCUUUUUUUGCUCGAAAUCCUUUUGUAUACACCACCUUCUUUUUGCUCGUCCAAUGAUUAUCAUCCCAAGUUCCGAACCGAAAGACGAGGAAUCGGAAUAUAUACCGUACACCAAAGCUCGAAGAAACCUAGCUGGGUUAGCCAGCUAGCUUUGGCAUCUCCAUCGCUUUCUGUUCCUUGCUCUUUCUUCAAAGAAUCACCACGGGCCAGUAUAACACCCGGAACAACGUCGUAAUCAAACCUGUGCAUGCACGCCAACGCGCGCGUACGCACGCACGUAGGGCGACCAGAGGCCGAACAAGGGGGCAGGGGUACGCGCGCGCGCCGCCAUGCAGCCGGCGCCGACCGCCAGGGCCGCCGGCUGGCUCCACCGCCCGCUCCCGAGAGAGCGGCCGCACCUGACCCGCUGCACCAAGGUCGUCUGCUCGGCGUUCCUCACCCUGCUCCUCCUCGCCGGCGUGCUCCUCUUCGUCGCCUACCUCGCCGUGCGCCCGCACCGGCCGCGCUUCCACGUCACCGCCUUCUCCGCCGCCGGCAUCCAGCCGGCCGGUGGCGCCAACGCCGCCGUGGUCUUUUCCGGGCAGCUCUCCAUCCGCAACCCGAACCAGGACGUAGCCUUCUUCUACGACCGGCUCUACAUGUCCGUGCUGUACCGCCAGUACGGCGCCGUCGUCAAGGACCACGACCUGGCCGGCGGGGCGCCCAUGUACCAGCCGCCCAAGACCACGACGCCCCUCGCGUUCGAGGGCGUCGCCGUGCCGGCGGGCCCCGCCACGGCCGACAUGGCCAGGGCGGCCGCGGAGGCAGGAGGCGCCGUGGAGUUCACGGUGAAGGUCCGGUCGAGGAUCCGCGCCAAGGUGGCCGUCUGGGGCUUCCACUGGCACCCGCUCCACGUGGACUGCGAAGUGGCCGUGGGCCCCGACGGGCAGCUGCUGCCGGAGGCCCGGCAGAAGCGUUGCGACAUAGACUUCUUGUAGGUGUAAUCCGCCUGCAUGAGUACGGACACAACAAGGGUUUAGUAACAUUCCAAUGUAAUCUGCCGGCAAGUAAUUAACAUCAUAUACUGUUGAAAAACAACAUCUUCUAUAGGUUAAUUAGAAGAUUAAGACAAACCAAAUCCUUGAUUGUGGGGCCCAUCACCUGUUGCUUCUCUGUAUAUUUCCAUUGCCUCCUCCAUGACUUUGGGGUGUGAUAAAAGCCAUGCUCUUCUCCUCAUUGAUGGAUGAGUUCUGAAUGGGAAGAAAGAGAGCAAAUCUGUCAACGCCGACUCGCCGUCCAUCCUUCCUGCCUUGCCAAAGAACAAAGGGGCAGCGUGGGGGUCGAAACCAGCAGCAGCCAGUAGCAUCAUUCCAAUGUAGUCCGCCUCUAGCUCAUUCCUACAAUACGGAGUAGUACAUGUCAUGUAAUUAACAUCAUACAUUCAUACUCUUACAAAACAACAUCUUCUAAUUAACACCAAGUAAAUACUUGCAUACACACACACUUUAAGAUGCAUGUAUGAACAAGGUGGGGUUAAAAGAAGUGAUGAAAUUGAUAUACGUACCUUCGUAGCAGUGGCGCCACGAGGAGGUCGGUUGGGAACCACAACCUGAAUAUUUGGAUCAUCUCAGACGCGUGCCUCGCAAUAACAUGUCCAACCUACAUAUAUAUAGAAACCAAUGAACAAUACUAUCGGCUUUGAAAAUUAACAACCUCAGUAAUCCAAAACGAACGAACAAACAAGCAUAUGUAUGUACCUCAUGCGCGAUGACGGUGGCAAUCUCAGCAUCCGUGCUGAAAUGAUCAAGUAAUCCCGUGAAGACUAUAAUCUUACCACCACCCUCAAAGCAAUGUGCUCUCUUGCUGUGUACGGCAACUAUCACCUCCCAAUUGAGCUCGUCGAUCCAAUCCAGACACGUCGCCAUGUGUGGUGGUUCCCCUCCUCGUUGUUCUAUCUUGCUCUUGAUGGACAAGCCACGACGGAUAGCGCGGAUGAUCUUCGAGCCAAUGGCGUGCACACGGACACUUUGGUGGUGGUGUGGGUCUACGAUCUCGGAGGCAUGCUCCUUCUUGAAAUUGGCAAAGCGGACCUCUCCGCUCACGCGCGCUGUUCUAGUAGAGAAGAUGACCUUGUGAGUGCGGUUGGUGUAAGGCACGGUCGCGACAACAAAUUCACGGUUGAUGAUCUUCCUUGCGCCUUCGCAAAAAAUUCGGGGCGGCACAAUUUCUGUCAUGGCCCUCCGCAGCGUGUGGGAGUACCCGCGAAGAGCCAAGUGACUGGUCACCGACCUCCAGAGGGAAGUACAAUGGUCCUGAGAAACACGCAAUGCAGUGGCCAUAGACAUAGGUUGACAGAAGAGUUGCAGGAGACGGAAGGCUAGCUGCAACGAGGAGGGAGAGCGCAAGCUCAUGAGGCGCGAGUUCACUUGGUGUGUUUCUCUCUAUAUAUAUAGGCGGCUUACCUCUGUUUUCUCGAGACAAAUACAACAACCUCCUACGUGCGUGUGUAAACUCGUACGUGCGCGCGAGGCUCUAUUAUAUGGCCGCUGCCCAUCGCCGUAGAGUACGACUCGGAUUUCCUGUCGGAUACUCAACGGGCUUCCGUUUCGGGAACCAUAUGUACAUCCGUCAUAAAUUAAUUGUCUUUUUUUGCGGGGAUAAAUUAAUUAUCUUUUUUUUGUGGGGUAUAAAUUAAUUAUCUUAAUUGUCUUAGACUAGAAAAAAGAGAUUUGUCUAGAUUUUUUUUUGAAAAUAAAAUUUGUCUAGAUAUAGAUGGAUUUAACACUAAAACGUGUAAAUAAAUACAGUUAAUUUGGAACGAUGGGAGUAUUAGUUACUGAUGGGUUGCACAUGCUAUUCGCGCACGCAAUUCUGCUCUCCAUUUUCAAAAAGCAUCGCGUGACCAUACUGAUGAAAUUCUUACGCUGACAUAUACACACACCAAUGUUCCCUGGCCCCCAAAAAGAAAUAUACCGAUGUUAACUCACAACUCCAACUUGCUGCACGGGUCCUGAGGCGUCUUGGAGCAUCUACAGCCAGACCCUUUUAUUGCCCGUAUACGUGUCGUAGAUGGCCCGGUCAAUGAUUGAUCAAGAAUCUGGACCCAGCCAUACCCCUCAUAGUGGCUCUAUAUAUCUGGGAUGGAUAUAGGGAGGUCCGGACACGCCCGAACACUUCCUCCACGUCGGAUUCAACCCACGUCGGUCCAUCCUGACCGCAUAAAUAUCUCCACCCUAUUCAUAUCCGGACAUAGCCACUGCCACUUCACUCCACUCCACUUCGAGUUCGCGUCACUCCGCGUCCAGCUCCUUUCCCGCGAGCUCUAAUCUCCUCUAGUAUUGCGGGCAGCAAAUCCAACUCUGUCGACUGGCACAUCGCCCCAUGCAGGAAUGAGGAGGAGACAGCCGUCCGUGUGGCUCUCCGCCGCUCCCAGGAGGAAUCCGUCCGACCACAGAACGAGUCAAUCCGGCUGAAAUCCAUUGCGUCUGUGCAAGCGGCGCGUUUAGAUCUGCCCGCGCCGGUAGCUUGAGGUGAUGGUGGAUGGCCCUGGGCUGGCGGCACAACCCCUACGGUGGAGCCUCGUCCCUGUGACGUCGAGCUUCGAGUUAGAGGUAAAUGUCGGUAGGUGGCCCAACCGUGGAUGCACUGAGGAUUGGUGUGGCAUUUCAGCUUAAUAGGAAUGGUAGACUACUGAUAAAACAUGGUGCUUGGCUUGGAGCAAUUUGAGGAUGGGUGUCCACUCAGGAAGUUGAUCCGGAUGCACACCAAUGAGAACAAAGUGCGCAGGAAAGGCUACUGCUGGUCUGUGGCGCGAAUCUAGAUCCUAGGUGGCAGCCAAGCACAACGGCCAGAAACCAAUGGCUGAACUUGGUGGGGGCAUUACAAUUGGUAUCAGAGUCAACCCUUGCGGUUACACGGGCAUGUGUGUGUCAGGUGCGCAGGCAUGUGGCGCAUGGCGUGUGUUCCUGUCAUGGCACACGAUAUGGAAAAAUGUAUCUCAGACUAGACGCAUAGGUGCAUGUCAAGGGAACGUUGCAUGUUGGGACGACGAGGACGUUGGUCAUGUGAGUGGGGAUGUACGUGACAUCCUGGCUUAAUAGGAAACAGUCAGGAACCGGUGGGUUUGGCCGGGGCGUUACAAGCGGCAUGCCCGCCAGACGAGAGAGAGGGCGUGUCAAACAACUGAGACAAAGUCACAUGCCGGGCCGGACACCGUGGAUGCAUUCCGCCCACAUCCUUGCGAAGCGGCAAGCCCAAACGGUCGUACCCUCUAAAAGGAGAAAACCCGGGAGGUUCUGCCCUCGCCGGAUGAUACACCUCAAACGUAUCUAUAAUUUUUGAUUGUUUCAUGCUAUUAUAUUAUCAUUUUAUAUACUUUUUAUAUCAAUUUAUAUAUUUUUGGGACUAACCUAUUAAUUUAGUGCCCAGUGAUAGUUCCUGUUUUAUGCUUGUUUUUUGGUUUCGCUGGAAAGUAUGGAGGUCAAAAUUAGCAGAUGUAACAUAAUUUUUUGGGCAACAAAAACACGGGAAGCUUCGGAGAAGAUGGAGAGGAGCUGCCAGGGCCCCAUACUACCCGUAUGGGGCCCCUACUUACCGCCAUGACCUGUUUCCACCGCCACAAUUCCCUACAAAAACUGAAAUUGUUUGCCAGAGGAAUUUUGUAGCUGCUGAGGGAGUCUUGGAUAAGGGGGUAUCCGGACAGCCGGACUGUACACAUCGUCCGGACUAUAGAAGUGUCAAGAUACAAGACUCAAGACUUCGGCUCGUGUCCGGAUGGGACUCUCGCUUACGUGGAAGACAAGCUUGGCGAUCUCGAUAUUAUAUUUCCUUCCUUGUAACCGACUCCAUGUAAACCCUAGCUCUCCGGUGUCUAUAUAAACCGGAGAGGAUGGUCUUUAGAAGCCCGAUCACAAUUACAAUCAUACCAUCAUAGGCUAGCUCUUAGGGUUUAGCCUCUACGAUCUCGUGGUAGAUCUACUCUUGUACUACUCAUAUCUUCAAUAUUAAUCAAGCGGAAGUAGGGUUUUACCUCCAUCGAGAGGGCCCGAACCUGGGUAAACAUUGUGUCCCUUGCUUCCUGUUACCAUCAGCCUAAGACGCACAGAUCGGGACCCCCUACCCAUCCGCCGGUUUUGACACCGACAUUGGUGCUUUCAGUGAGAGUUCCUCUGUGUCGUCGCUGCAAAGGCUCAAUGGCUCGUCUCAUUGUCAAGGACGACAUCACUUCUGGGGGAGCGCUGGCUAUAGGCCAGACUCUCCGGCUUAGCGGCUUCAUUAUGACCGCCCCAUCGGCUGUCGCGCCAACGAUGGCUUCUCGGGUCAUCAUGCAUAACCUUCGCAUCGAUUCGGAGCUUGCCGAAAAGAUGGAUCCGAUUGAGUUCUCUUCCCUUAAUGAGCUCUUGGAUCGCAUCGCCGCUUUGGGAGUCGCUACGGACUAUGACCGGAUUGGGCUUAAACCCGACGAAAGGGACAUUAGAUCCCCGCCGGCCACCCAUGAGAUAGCGGUAAUGGAGGAACCACACGUGGGUUGCCCCUUAACUUUGAGGACGAAUUAUGUCCGGAUCACCGAACUCAGUGAGCCGAACACCCACCCAAAGGAAGACAUGGCCCAGGUCCCGGACUUAGAAUCAGGCGUUGGGCCGAAGGGAUUAGGUAAUACUCCGGAUCCCGAACUGUCAGGCUCGGAACUUCCCGUGCCCCCGGGCGUCAGAUCGGAUCAGAAUCCGGAUUCAGCCAACGACGCUUGCUCGGACUUAAACCGUCUCUCCUGUAUCAGGCAGGAGCCCCAGGAGACGGUACACCGUUACUGGGCCAGAUUCCUCCUUGCUCUUAACAAGGUCAAGGACUGCCACAAGGAGGACAUAGUCUCUCUUUUCUGCAGAAACUGCACGAACAAAGGACUCCUUAAUGCUAUAAGUCGCCGUGACAUAGUACACUUUACGGACUUGGCAACCAUAGUACAGAAGUACUGUGCGAUGGAAAGCGCCUGGAAGAUCCAAACAGAAUUUUGGGAUAGUACGGCCCUCACCAGAACCUUUGUCCGAACUAAACGGCCAAACUCUCGUAAGUCGACCGAUUCAAUUCCCAAGAAACCAAAGCCCGCACCAUGGCGUGGAACCGUAUUGGAAGGAUGGCACAAUGGGCCAUGUAAGCUCCACAGUACGCCGAACGCAAUACCAACCAUAACCUUAAGGCAUGUUGGAUACUCCGGCAGGUAGCAAAAAGUGGCGAGGAUCUCCUCGAGUGCCACAAAGCAGAACAACAUCCCGCCAAGGAACACAAUAUGGUACUAACGGUCUUCGAGACCUUCUCCUCAAACAAUAGGCGUAAGCGAGCUCAUCGAAGCUCCGUCGAAAUCUGCCAUGUGGCAAAAAUAAAUCCGUGGAACGACACUGCUAUAACUUUCAAUGCAAGUGAUGAACCCCAAUUCCAGUCCAUCCGGGCACCAGCCGCUCUGGUCCUUAGCCCAAUAGUGGACGGCUUUCGACUCACUAAAGUACUCAUGGACGGCGGAAGCGGAUUAAACUUAAUCUACGAAGAAAAACUCAAGAAGAUGGAAAUUGACAAAAGCCGCAUUGAACAAAGCGGCACAACCUUCAGGGGAAUUAUCCCUAGUCGGGAAGCACGGUGCGCAGCGAAAAUCACACUCGAUGUGGUAUUCGGCACCCCGGAAAAUUACAGGUCCGAAGAAAUGACGUUCCAAGUGGCUCCCUUCAGCAGCGGAUACCACGCCCUUCUAGGGCGAGACGCGUUAGCAAGCUUUCAAGCUAUACCCCAUUAUGGGUACAUGAAGCUUAAAAUUCCCGGACCCAAUGGAAUUAUCACUCUAGCUAGUGAUCCGGACGUCGCACUCCGUGCCGAAAACAAAACCGGAGCACUAGCCUUGGAAGCACUAUCCGAAGCCCUAGCGGCAGAAGAAUUAACAACACUGCGCGCCACCGUGGACAGGGACGACGUGAUACUCGACAAGCGACCCAAGUCCACCUCAUUCAAACCCGCAGAUGAGAUAGUCAAAUUCCAAGUCCACCCAACGGACCCCACGAAGACAACUUCCAUCGGGACACAGUUGAACCCCGCUAUGGACACCGCACUGCGCGACUUCUUACGCGAGAAUUGGGAUAUCUUCGCCUGGCACCCAUCGGACAUGCUGGACAUCCCACGCGAAUUGGCCGAACACAGCCUUAACAUACUAAAGGGAUACAAACCUGUUAAACAGACCCUAAGGCAAUUUUCGGAGCCCAAACGACAAGCCAUGGGGGAGGAGCUAGCCAAGCUACUUGAGGCCGGAUUUAUCAAAGAUAUCAAACAUUCGGAUUGGCUGGCGAACUUGCUAAUGGUACCAAAGAAGGACAAAUCCUGGCGCCUGUGCAUCGACUUCAAAGACCUUAACAAGGCUUGCCCCAAGGAUCCCUUUCCCCUCCCUCGCAUCGAUCAAAUCAUCGAUGCCACAGCCGGACACGACUCGCUGUGUUUCCUCGACGCAUACUCUAGAUACCAUCAAAUAAAGAUGGCAGAGUCCGACCAAGCUACAACGGCUUUCAUAACGCCAUAUGCCCCUUUCUGCUUCAACACUAUGCCUUUCGGGCUUAAGAAUGCCGGAGCAACCUAUCAACGCAUGAUUCAAACAUGCCUGGAAAAGCAAAUCGGCAAAAUAGUGGAGGCAUACAUGGACAACGUAGUCAUAAAAACAAGACACGUCGAAACCUUAAUAGAUGACUUGAGGCUUAUGUUCGACAACCUACAAACAUACGACAUCAAGCUGAAUCCGGAGAAAUGCGUUUUCGGCGUCCCUUCCGGAAAACUGCUGGGCUUCAUCGUUUCCAAUAGAGGAAUUGAAGCUAAACCGGCAAAAAUCCGAGCUCUGUCGUAGUUGGCUAUACCAACAGACCUCAAACACAUCCAGAAACUAGCUGGAUGCGUGGCUGCUUUGAGCCGCUUUAUAUCCAGGUUAGGAGAAAAGGCAUUGCCUCUUUACCGCCUUCUUCGGCGCACCGAACACUUUGUGUGGACGGAUGCAGCUCCAGCCGGACUUGAUGAAAUAAAGACCUUAUUGGCCAACAAUCCAGUCCUAACAACGCCAAAUAUCGGCGAACCUAUGCUGCUAUACAUAGCCGCAACACAUCAAGUUGUAAGCGCGGUACUCGUCGUCAAACGAGAGGUUGACGGAUACAAAUUCCCGCUAUAGAAGCCGGUUUAUUACGUAUCCAUGGUCCUCACCCCAUGCAAAUCCCGAUACCCACACUAUCAAAAAAUAGCAUACGCGGUCUUCAUGGCAUCCCGAAAGCUACGAAACUACUUUCAAGAGUGUUCGAUUACGGUGGCCUCCGAAGUACCACUAAACGAUAUAAUAAACAACCGUGAUGCCACGGGCUAGAUCGCUAAAUGGACGAUUGAGCUCCUUCCGUUCGACAUAAUAUACAAGCCUCGGUGGGCUAUCAAGUCGCAAGUAUUAGCUGACUUUGUCGCCGAAUGGACGGAAGCCGAACUCCCUAAAGAGUACGGCGCAUACUCCAACUGGAUCAUGCACUUUGAUGGCUCUAAAAUGCUGGUCGGAUUGGGAGCAGGCGUAGUCCUGACGUCUCCCACCGGAGACACGGUCCAAUACGUCCUCCAGAUAUUAUACACAGACUCCAACAAUGCAGCCGAAUAUGAGGCUCUGUUGCACGGUCUUCGGAUGGCAGUCUCUAUGGGCAUUCAACGCCUAGAGGUGCGCGGGGAUUCAAACCUCGCAAUAUCCCAAAUAAACGGAGACUUUGAUGCCAAGGAUCCGAAAAUGGCGGCCUACCGUAAUGCCGUCCUUAAAAUGUCAGCUCGGUUCGAGGGGCUCGAAUUUCACCAUGUGGUUCGAGAAAACAAUCAAGCAGCAGAUGUACUUGCUCGCAUCGGCGCUAAACGUGACCCUGUCCCACCUAACAUAUUCCUGGAAAGGCUAUUCAAGCCAUCCGUGACAUGGGAAGGGGAGUCCGGCAAUACCAGCACAGAUCCGAAUACAUCCCCAGAUUCCGAACUAUCAGACAUAAUCGGAGGCUCUACCACCGAAAUAACAUCGUCAACCCAUGAAAUAAUGGCUGUCAUCGCCCCGUGGACUGAGCCGUUCUUGGCCUACCUAAAUAGGAAGGAGCUCCCCGAAGACCAAAAUGAAGCACGCUGCAUCGUACGGUGUUCUAAAGCUUACAAAGUCCAUGAAGGGGAACUCUAUAAGAAAAGUGCGACCGGAGUGCUUCAAAGGUGCAUCUCCGAAGAGGAAGGGCGGCAGCUCUUGGCUGAAAUCCAUGCCGGACUGGGCGGGCACCACGCCGCGGCUCGAGCACUAGUCAGCAAGGCCUUCCGUACAGGUUUCUAUUGGCCGACUGCCCGAGCAGACGCGCAGGACCUUGUCCAACAUUGCGUCGGUUGCCAGCUCUUUGCCAAUCAGAGUCAUAUGCCCCCUACCGCUCUCCAAACAAUUCCCAUAACUUGGCCCUUUGCGGUCUGGGGGCUGGACAUGGUUGGACCCCUUAAAGGGGGAAGCCACAAGAAAAAAUACUUAUUGGUCAUGGUAGAUAAGUUCACCAAACAGAUAGAAGCCAAACCAGUGAAAACGGCCGAAUCCGGACCACUAAUCGACUUUAUAUCCGGGGUCAUACACCGAUACGGUGUCCCCCACAGCAUCAUCACUGAUAAUGGCUCAAAUUUCAUGGCCGCUGAGGUGAAAUCUUGGUGCGGAAAAAUGGGCAUUAAGCUCAAUUAUGCUUCCAUCUACCAUCCUCAAACAAAUGGCCAGGUCGAACGGGCAAAUAGUCUCAUCAUGAGUGGCAUCAAACCCAGACUAGUGCGAUCCUUGACAGAGUCGGAUACUCAUUGGGUCGAGGAGCUUGACUCCGUACUCUGGGGGCUGCGGACCACGCUGAAUCGCACCACCGAAUAUACACCAUUUUUUAUGGUGUACGGUGCGGAAGCAGUACUACCUUGCGACAUAAUACAUGAUUUGCCACGCGUACGCAUGUACAAAGAGAAGGAAGCCGAGUUAGAUCGGUAGGAUAACUUGGACACCCUGGAGGAGGAGCACGAUGUCGCUAAGGCCCGUUCCGCAUUCUAUCAGCAACAGGCUCGACGAUACCAAAGCAGAGAAGUACGGGCCAAAACUUAUAAUAUUGGCGAACUCGUUCUACGCUUACCGGAGAAGAAGAAGGAUAAGCUCAAACCCAAGUGGGAAUGCCCCUUCGUCAUCGACCAAGUUCUCACCAGAGGAGCGUACCGCUUACGUAAUGCGUCCGAUAACAGACUCGAGCCGAACCCAUGGAACGCGGCCAGACUCCGGAGAUUCUACGCCUAGCGCCGAACUCAGUGUUUGUCUCCUUACCUCCCCCCUUUUUUUUAUUAUGCUCCCUCCCUCUUCCUUUCUCAAAUCUUUUUCUCUUCACACAAAGUAUUUCAUACAGUACGGACUCCCGGAUUAUUCCGGCCGCACUAUGUGUGUAAGCAAUACCUAGGGGCUUCCUAUACGGAAGCUAAAUAUAAAUUACUCUCAAGGCUUUUUGCCCAUCACACAUGAGUUUCUUUUUUUCAUGUGUGCCUUUUCUUCACCAUUAUAUGCAUCGAUAUGACUUAAGACGUGGCCAAGCUGGGUUGCCUGGCUCCUGUGUUUAUGCCCUACGUUCCCGUUAAUUCGGCUAGGGCAUAAGGGGAGCACCUCUGCGAUUGUUACUGCCGGUUGAGCCGGAUGUGUACCUCAGACUGGGUGAAGCCAAAAGCUAGUUUCCUUAAGAGAAUAUUCGGUCGGUGAACAAAAGAUGUCUUCGUUUAUCAUAACAUAAAUCCCCAGAAGUUUUGUAUCCUGCGCCUUCGUUCGCAGUCCGGACAUGUGCUUUGCCGCAUGCAUUCCCAGGGAAAGGAACCCCUAACAGAACUAUUCUCCCUGGAAGAUGUUUCUUACUAUCCAUGUAAUAUAACAUACUAGUUAGGUACUUGUCUGCUCAAGCACUUAUGACCCCUACGCCUGGUCUCCACGCAUACCCCGGUUUUUUAUAACUGAGCGGGUAUUCGGACACACCCCGGACUAUCGGAUCCGGGGGCUGAAGCGAAAAUGUCCGCCAUGACAAAUGAUUUUAAUCCGGCUAGGGGCUACUUAUGCCCAUUAAAUUACACAAUCACUUGGACUGACUAUAUUCCUCCUCUAUGCCAUCCAACAGGCUAUCUAGUUUACAAUCCUGUUGCGAAUACUUAGCGGCUAACGCUACCUGGUCAUAUACCAGACUUACGGGAAUUUCUUGCCCAUCGGGCCCCGCCGGUCCUACUUCAGCCAUAUGGUUCGGGUCCAUCUUGGUGUAGCGCGUCUUUACCAUUGCCCAAGCUUCUCUUGCACCUUGCCGGCAUGCUGAUAUCUUCCACAGCUGGAAGCGCCGCCGGGCUCCUUGAAGCAGGUCCACAAGCUCCCUCAUGCCAUUUGGCAAGGGGCUUGAUGGCCACAAGGCCUGAGCAACGACGUGCAUCACCUGCCGAGCUCGCUCGUGCAACUGUGAAAGUUCUUGUAGUACAUCACCUGAGAUGAGGGCAUCUCCUCCUCUGGGCGACCCGUUAACAUUCCUACAAGCAAAAUUCUUUCAACACACUUCCGCGCCGAACUAUCAUAUAGUUCGUCUAGGCACUCACCAUAAAUGCCACGUCAAAGCCUUUUAUUCUCCUUUAUGGAGUCCGCCAGCUGGGCACAGACGUCUUUUAACUCUACGUCCAGCCGGACAUUGGCAUCCUGAAGAUUGUUCUUCUCCUGCCGAACCUGCAUGAGAAUGCGCUCGCUAGCCUUUAGUUGCCCCUGGAGAUACGACUCGUCGUCUCCCCCGCCCUCCGGAUUUACUGCAGGGUUAUAUACAUAAUUUUCUAUUAAAUUUGUCAUACCAGCCAGUUGCUAAUUGGUACAUUUUCGUACAAUCAAGAUAAAUGUUACCCGCUGAAGCCUUUUGGGAUUCCUCUAGCUUGGCAACUAUGGCCCUCAGUUGGGUCUUGUACUCCUCCAGCUCCCGAGACAAUUGCUCAUUCUUAUCUACAAGAACCUGCGCAUAAAUUGAUCCUUAAAACAGUUGUUCCAACCGUUUCAAGUCUUAGGGGCUACUGCUAUACAUACUUAUCACAAUUUCUUAUCCGUAUAUAUUUGGUAUACUGGUUCGUCGCUUGGGCAAGCCCGCCUUGAGCAGCUCGGACGUAUGCGUCUGCCGAAUUGAAGGCGUUAAAGGCCUCUCCGGAAAAGAUGUUGUUCCGAAGCACGGCCCUCCGACGCUGGUGAUUCAUGGCGCUCUCCACUUCGGAGUUUGUGGCCGAAAACAUAUCCGCAUCCUUUGUCGGAGGACUAUGCGGCAUUGGCCCUACGUUCGCCUCCUCUCUCGAAGUCGGUUCUGGUGCCCGACUGGUGGAGGCAUGGUUGGCAGGAUCUCCGGAUAUAGUCCGGAUACCCCUCUUCCUGCCAGGAUGUAAAGGGCGCUGUUACACUUCAAGUAACAAUUAUUACAUGACAGGUUGUUUCCUUACCUCUGUAGAGGCAUGUCGGCCGUAACCGCCUUCCUCUUGAGCCUACCCAAUCUGGACGCCUGUGGCUGACGGGUCCCUAGGGGCUCGGCCCUGCGCUUUGAAUGUCGCUUCUGCAAAAACACGACGCAUCAGGGAUAAAGCGUGAUAUUAGGAAAGAGUCCUCUUCGGAGGAUCGAGUUUUCGGCUUAGCUUACACGCGACGAAGGUAGCAAUAUGGGAUAAUCAGCAGUAAUAGCCACUGAGGCGCCGUCACAGCUUGCCCAAUAAAAUAUCCCGUCAACAAGCUCCACGGCCGCAUCCGGGUCUUCUUCGAGUCCUGGAUCCAGGGCCCUUUCGGGGUCCUCUGGCUGCGGGGAAGGGCUGGAGAUUCCUUCUACGGCCCUCCUCAAUUCCUUCUCGGAAAUAUCGAAGCAGGUAACCUUAGCAAAGGACGCCACAAUAAGUGAAGCGAGAGCAUAAAUGACGACUUACCUAGUUUGGGGGAUUGUACAUGGAGAAUCCGUCUCGCGGUUUGAUAUGAGGGAAGUCUUCCUCUUCUCCUUUGUAUAGACCGGACAAUAUCCUUGCCAGAGCAAUGGCGGAGUCCGGACCCUUACGGCCGCAGCGAGUGGCAUCAUCUGUCCCGUUGUAAUGCCACAUGGGAUUGCCCCGAUAUUGAAGCGGUUGCACUCCCCGCAUUAUGCAUAUUUCCAUGACCUCGACUAUCGUCAGUCCGGAUUUGGCCAGUAACUUUAUCUUGCUCACCAGGAAGUGUAUUUCCCUGGAAUCCUCUUCUUGGGGGCCUCGGGGGCGCCGGCUUAGACGUUCCCUCGGCGGGGUGUUACUGAACUUGGGGCGUCCUGUCCGGACUGGAUCCGGAAGGGGAGCGUCAUCAAUAUAAAACCACUCUAAAGCCCAGUCAUCUGGUGCCUUCCUGGGAGUGCCGGAUAGGUAUCCGGUCUCAGCGAUACGCCAUACUUCGGCCCUGCCCACUUGACAUAGGGAUUCUCCCUGGUUGCGGGAGACAAGGCAGAACAGCUUCUUCCACAAUCCGAAAUGAGCCUCGCAACCUAGAAAUAGCUCACAAAGGGCGACAUACCCUGCUAUAUGUAGUACAGAGGCUGGGGUAAAGUUGUGCAACUCGAGGCCGUAGAACUCCAGGAGCCCGUGAAGGAAUGGAUGAAUGGGAAACCCGACGCCCCUUAAUAGAUGCGGAAUGAGGCAUAUUGGCUCCUCUGGAGAUGGAUUGGGAGAUCUCCCCGCUUGUUCUCCGCCGUUAUAGGUGGCCACUCCGGCUCGGACAGGGACCAUGAACGCCAGCGGGAGAAGCCCUUGGGUUUGUAGCUUUAUCAAACAGUUAUGAGAAAAUGAACACUCUCCCGAGUCCCCCGGCUUGGGGCAAGGGGAACGAGCAAAAGAGCUGCGACGACCGGCCAUGUUGGAAUGGUUUUUUCUGGGCGCUCUGUUGGAUGCUUGCUCGAGGAGGGAGAGUGAGGUUUGGAUCUGGGAAUCCCCGUCUCUUCAAAUAGACGGUUAGCCCGAAGGACUGAGGGUGGCAAAUGCAAAAAUGCCUCGACUCCUUGCAUUCGCUCGACACAUGGAAACGGUCAUUAUUGAAGCACUGAAGCCGAGGAGUACAACAUUGAUGAGAUGCCAGAUACUGUUCGUCAUGAUGGGUACAUUGGAGUAUUCGGAGAAGUAACCCGCCUUGCAAUGCCGAAGACAAGACUGCGCACUGGACUCAUCGUCAUUGAAGCCUGGUUCAGGGGCUACUGAGGGAGUCCUAGAUAAGGGGGUAUCCGGACAGCCGGACUGUACACAUCGACCGGACUAUAGAAGCGUCAAGAUACAAGACUCAAGACUUCGGCUCGUGUCCGGAUGGGACUCUCCCUUGCGUGGAAGACAAGCUUGGCGAUCCGGAUAUUAUAUUUCCUUCCUUGUAACCGACUCCAUGUAAACCCUAGCUCUCCGGUGUCUAUAUAAACCGGAGAGGAUGGUCCUUAGAAGCCCGAUCACAAUUACAAUCGUACCAUCAUAGGCUAGCUCUUAGGGUUUAGCCUCUACGAUCUCGUGGUAGAUCUACUCUUGUACUACUCAUAUCUUCAAUAUUAAUCAAGCAGGAAGUAGGGUUUUACCUCCAUCGUGAGGGCCCGAACCUGGGUAAACAUUGUGUCCCUUGCUUCCUGUUACCAUCAGCCUAAGACGCAUAGAUCGGGACCCCCUACCCAAGAUCCGCCGGUUUUGACACCGACAGCUAUUGUAAGCCACUAUUCCGAGGAGAUCCCAUCUAGAGGCCUAUUCCAGAGCCCUGCCGGAGGGGGAGCCAUUGUCGGAGCCAUCUUCAUCAACCUUGCCGUCUUCUUGACCAUGUGUGAGUAGUUCCACCAGGACCUAUGGGUCCAUAGUAGAAGCUAGAUAGUUCUCUUUCUUUCUGGAUCUUCAAUACCAUGUUCUCGUUCUUUAUCAAGAUCAAUCCGAUGUAAUCUUGUGAUGUGUUUGUUGGGACAUGAUGAAUUGUUACUUUCUGACCAAAUUGUUUAUUGAAAUCAAUUGAAUCUUUUGAGGUUUUGUUGCUGCAUAAUUAAAUAGCUUUGUAUGCUCUUUGAUCCAUCUCUAUCUUCUUUGGCCAAGUUCGAUGGGUUUUUCUUCAGAUGGAGUUAUGGUUUGUAGUGGGUUAAAUCUUGCGAUGCGCUUACCCAAUGAUGAUACGGGCCAAGACCCGUACACUACUAGGGAAAACCUUAUACACAGAAGCUUACUAGUUACCUACCAGUAGCGCGUUGUAUAAAAGCUUGCUACUACUAUAUCCAUAGCAGUAGCGCGGCCCAGAUAAAAAGCGCUACUACUAUAACUGCCACACCGUUGCCGGCAGGCUAGGUAUAGUAGUAGCGCUAGUCUACAGUAAACGCUAUUGCUAUUGGUCUUAGCAGUAGCGCUCUUCCUGGCCCCGCGCUACUGCUAUGGGUGCCUUAUCCCCAAAUUUUCCUCCCCCGCGCCCGACCAUCUUUUCCUCCCCUCCCAACUGCCUCACUCCUCCGCCGUCGUCGCAUUGCCGUCACCACCGCAUUGCCUCCGCCGUCCUCCCUCUCCUUCCUCGGUAUGCUCUCCUCCCUCCUCCUCCCACCAUGCUCUCCUCCGGCCAAGCCCUCCGCCGGCAGCCCUCCUCCCACCGCCCCUCCCCCUCCUCCUUCUCUCCUCCCACCCCCUCCUCCUUCCCUCCUCCUCCCUCCUUCCAUCUCCCUCCUCACCCUCCUCCUCUUUCCUUCUCCCUCCCACCCGCUCCNNNNNNNNNNNNNNNNNNNNNNNNNNNNNNNNNNNNNNNNNNNNNNNNNNNNNNNNNNNNNNNNNNNNNNNNNNNNNNNNNNNNNNNNNNNNNNNNNNNNNNNNNNNNNNNNNNNNNNNNNNNNNNNNNNNNNNNNNNNNNNNNNNNNNNNNNNNNNNNNNNNNNNNNNNNNNNNNNNNNNNNNNNNNNNNNNNNNNNNNNNNNNNNNNNNNNNNNNNNNNNACUCCUCUCUCCUCCCUCCUCCUCCCUCUUCCCACCCCCUUGAUACGUCUCCGACGUAUCUACUUUUCCAAACACUUUUGCCCUUGUUUUGCACUCUAACUUGCAUGAUUUCAAUGGAACUAACCCGGACAAACGCUGUUUUCAGCAGAACUACCAUGGUGUUAUUUUUGUGCAGAAAUAAAAGUUCUCGGAAUGACCUACACUCCACGGAGUCACAUUUUGAAAUUAAUAAAACAUAUUGGCGAAAAUCAACAUAAGGGGGCCCACACCCUGUCCACAAGUGUGCAGGGCACACCCACCCCCCUGGGGUGUGCCCCUGCCUCGUGGGCCCCUUGGACCUCCACCGACCUCAACUCCAACUCCAUAUAUUCAUGUUCAGGGAAAAAACCCAGGGAGAAGGAUUCAUCGCAUUUUACGAUAUGGAGCCGCCGCCAAGCCCUAACCUUCCUUGGGAGGGCUGAUCUAGAGUCCAUUCGGGGCUCCGGAGAGGGGAACCCGUUGCCAUCGUCAUCAUCAACCAUCCUCCAUCACCAAUGUCAUGAUGCUCACCACCGUGCGUGAGUAAUCCCAUCGUAGGCUUGCUGGACAGUGAUGGGUUGGAUGAGAUUUACCAUGUAAUCGAGUUAGUUUUGUUAGGGUUUGAUCCCUAGUAUCCAUUAUGUUCUAAGAUUGAUGUUGCUAUGACUUUGCCAUGCUUAAUGCUUGUCACUAAGGCUCGAGUGCCAUGAUUUCAGACCUGAACCUAUUAUGUUUUCAUGAAUAUAUGAGUAUUCUUGAUCCUAUCUUGCAAGUCAAUAGUCACCUACUACAUGUUAUGAUCCGGCAAAUCCCGGAGUGACAAUAGUCGGGACACUUCCUCGUGAUGACCGUUGUUUGAGGAGUUCAUGUAUUCACUAAGUGCUAAUGCUUUGGACCGGUACUCUAUUAAAAGGAGGCCUUAAUAUCCCUUAGUUUCCAAUAGGACCCCGCUACCACGGGAGGGUAGGACAAAAGAUAUCAUGCAAGUUCUUUUCCAUAAGCCCGUAUGACUAUAUCCGGAAUACAUGCCUACAUUACAUCGAUGAAUUGGAGCUACUUCUGUGUCACCCUAUGUUAUAACUGUUGCAUGAUGAAUUGUGAUACGUCCAUUUUGCAUCAUGCUUUUAUAUCGAUAUUUAUUGCAUUAUGGGCUGUUAUUACACGUUAUGUCACAAUACUUAUGGCUAUUCUCUCUUAUUUUACAAGGUUUUACAUGAAUAGGGAGAAUGCCGGCAGCUGGGAUUCUGGGCUGGAAAAGGAGCAACCUAUUCUGCAUAGCUCCAAAAGUCCUGAAACUCCAUGAUAGUCAUUUUUGGAAUUAAUAAGAAUUAUUGAGCGGAAGAAGUACCAGAGGGGGCGCACACCCUGGCCACGAGGGUGGGGGGCGCGCCCACCCUUACAGGGUGCGCCCCCUGCCUCGUGGGCCCCCUGGUGGCCCUCCGGUGCCCAUCUUCUGCUAUAUGAAGUCUUUUACCCUGGAAAAAAAAAUCAUAAGCAAGCUUAUGGGACGAAACUCCGCCGCCACGAGGCGGAACCUUGGCGGAACCAAUCUAGGGCUCCGACGGAGCUGUUCUACCGGGGAAACUUCCCUCCGAGAGGGGGAAAUCAUCACCAUCGUCAUCACCAAUGAUCCUCUCAUCGGGAGGGGGUCAAUCUCCAUCAACAUCUUCACCAGCACCAUCUCCUCUCAAACCCUAGUUCAUCUCUUGUAUCUAAUCUUUGUACCAAAACCUCAGAUUGGUACCUGUGGGUUGCUAGUAGUGUUGAUUACUCCUUGUAGUUGAUGCUAGUUGGUUUUAUUUGGUGGAAGAUCAUUUGUUCAGAUCCUUAAUGCAUAUUAAUACUCCUCUGAUCAUGAACAUGAAUAUGCUUUGUGAUUAGUUACGUUUGUUCCUGAGGACAUGGGUGAAGUCUUGCUAUUAGUAGUCAUGUGAAUUUGGUAUUCGUUUGAUAUUUUGAUGAGAUGUAUGUUGUUUCUCCUCUAGUGGUGUUAUGUGAACGUCGACUACAUGACACUUCACCAUUAUUUGGGCCUAGAGGAAGGCAUUGGGAAGUAAUAACUAGAUGAUGGGUUGCUAGAGUGGCAGAAGCUUAAACCCUAGUUUAUGCGUUGCUUCGUAAGGGGCUGAUUUGGAUCCAUAUGUCUCAUGCUGUGGUUAGGUUUACUUAAUACUUCUUUUGUAGUUGCGCAUGCUUGCAAUAGGGGUUAAUCAUAAGUGGGAUGCUUGUCCAAGAAAGGGCAGCAUCCAAGCACUGGUCCACCCACAUGUCAAAUUAUCAAAGUAACAAACGCGAAUCAUAUGAACGUGAUGAAAACUAGCCUGACGAUAAUUCCCAUGUGUCCUUGGGAGCGCUUUUCUCAUUAUAAGAAUUGUCCAGGCUUGUCCUUUGCUACAAAAAGGAUUGGGCCACCUUGCUGCACUUUAUUUACUUUCAUUGCUUGUUACCCGUUGCAAAUUAUCUUAUCACAAAACUAUUUGUUACCUACAAUUUCAGUGCCUGCAGAGAAUACCUUACUGAAAACCGCUUGUCAUUUCCUUCUACUCCCACUACUGGAAUCAGGGAUUUUGCCGUCUGCCAGUUCUUUGCUGUCUGCUAGCAGACGGCAAAGAAGGUCUUUGCCAUUAGCUACCAAGAAGCAGACGACAAAUAACAGGCAGACGACAAAGAAGGUCUUUGCCAUCCGUCAUUUCUUUGUCGUCUGCUGGCUGACGGCAAAUUUGAGAGGUGGCACCCACUAACGAGCUGAUUAGAAAAAACUUAAUGUCCCCCCUCUUUGCCGUCCAUAGCAGACGGCAAAGAUAAAAAAAAGCGGACGGCAAAGACUAACCUAACUAACCUAACUAACGGCCGAGCCCCCCCGCCCGUUGCUCUCUGUGUUUCUCUCCCUCUCUCCUCCCUGACGCCUUGCCACCAGAUCCACCCACCGCGCUGCCUCCGCCGCCCGGCGCCGCCCUCGCCACCCACCGCCGCCGCCGCCACCGCCCCCGNNNNNNNNNNNNNNNNNNNNNNNNNNNNNNNNNNNNNNNNNNNNNNNNNNNNNNNNNNNNNNNNNNNNNNNNNNNNNNNNNNNNNNNNNNNNNNNNNNNNNNNNNNNNNNNNNNNNNNNNNNNNNNNNNNNNNNNNNNNNNNNNNNNNNNNNNNNNNNNNNNNNNNNNNNNNNNNNNNNNNNNNNNNNNNNNNNNNNNNNNNNNNNNNNNNNNNNNNNNNNNNNNNNNNNNNNNNNNNNNNNNNNNNNNNNNNNNNNNNNNNNNNNNNNNNNNNNNNNNNNNNNNNNNNNNNNNNNNNNNNNNNNNNNNNNNNNNNNNNNNNNNNNNNNNNNNNNNNNNNNNNNNNNNNNNNNNNNNNNNNNNNNNNNNNNNNNNNNNNNNNNNNNNNNNNNNNNNNNNNNNNNNNNNNNNNNNNNNNNNNNNNNNNNNNNNNNNNNNNNNNNNNNNNNNNNNNNNNNNNNNNNNNNNNNNNNNNNNNNNNNNNNNNNNNNNNNNNNNNNNNNNNNNNNNNNNNNNNNNNNNNNNNNNNNNNNNNNNNNNNNNNNNNNNNNNNNNNNNNNNNNNNNNNNNNNNNNNNNNNNNNNNNNNNNNNNNNNNNNNNNNNNNNNNNNNNNNNNNNNNNNNNNNNNNNNNNNNNNNNNNNNNNNNNNNNNNNNNNNNNNNNNNNNNNNNNNNNNNNNNNNNNNNNNNNNNNNNNNNNNNNNNNNNNNNNNNNNNNNNNNNNNNNNNNNNNNNNNNNNNNNNNNNNNNNNNNNNNNNNNNNNNNNNNNNNNNNNNNNNNNNNNNNNNNNNNNNNNNNNNNNNNNNNNNNNNNNNNNNNNNNNNNNNNNNNNNNNNNNGACCCCGAAACAGCACCCCGACCCCAACACGGCACCCCGACACGGCACCCCGACACCGACACGACACCCCGACCCCCGAAACCUCCCGAAAAGGUGCUCUUUGGCCUUCCAGAAGCCGACGGGGUCAUAUAUUUGUGAAUUAUGAGUUAGGUCAUAUAUUUUUCGAUUUUGUUAUGAAAAACAUCAUAUACAGUUGUGUUGAUCGGGUAGAUUUAAAUGUGCAGUUGUUUCAUCGCUGUGAGGUUUGGUGUUCGAUGACCUCACCGUGCAUUUGACGAGCUCUGCCCCUUCGUUCAUGGGUGAGCACAAAUGACAUGUCCUCCUCCCCUUAAUUAUUUGCUCUGUUCCGGUGUUCGUGCCGAUGAAACUUGAUAGCUAGCUAUAUAUGUGUCUUGAAUCAUCAGUAUGCAUAACCAAUAUGUGUCCCCCGUUCGAAAGCAUUAUAGUUAUAAAUAUGCAUGCAUUUGAAUAUUUAUAACCGCGAUUCUUUCGAAUUGUCCAAUGCUAUCCAUGGACAGCCCGAGUAUGUGUAGAUUGGGUUCGUUUUCCCAUAUGCUUUGCUCCGGAUUCGACGCAUAAAUUUUGUCAGUGCCUCCCCUGUUGUUCUCCGGGUACACAUCCUCUCUGUUUAUUGCAGAGACGUGUACCAGGAGAACACCGGGGAGGUGCUGCCGAAAUUUUGCGUCGGAUCCGGAGCAUAGCAUGGGAAAAUGAACCCAAUCUACACAUACUCGGGUGGGAUUAGGACCUAUCAUUACCUAUUAGAGUGUAGGUUGCAUGGACGUAAUAAAAUUGACAAAGUAGAUCAACUGAUGAAUAUAUACAUGGUGAAUUAUAUAUAUAUAUAUAUUUGUUGUGUGUCCAGUAGUUCCGAAAGUCAAGAUGAGUGAUCGUGCGUGGAUGUACAUCGGUCACACUGGUUAGAACAAAUGGAGUGCUGAAUGGUUCACAAAAACCAAGGGGUUUGUGCAAGCCGCAUUUGCAAAUGGCCAGAGGAAAACCUGGUGCCCCUGUUUCCGGUGCGGCAAUUGGGAAAAGAGGACAGAUGCUGAAAUGGGCAAACACAUGCAGAAGAGUGGUUUUACACCCGAUUAUACGGUGUGGACAUAUCAUGGUGAGUCUGCCCAACGUGACCGAGCUGAGGUGGAUCAUCAUCGUACCGACGAGCAUGGUACCGGGAUGGAUAACAUGGUGCAAGACUAUGAUGAUGCUCGGGAUUCGGACGAGGAGAUGGAGGAAUCUGCAAAGGCCUUCAAUGAAAUGUUGGAGUCUUCAAAACGUCCGCUCCACGAGCACACUGAGCUUUGUCAGUUGGAUGCCAUCUCACGAGUAAUGGCUCUGAAGGCUCAGUUCAACUUGGGCAGAGAAUGCUACGAUGCAAUGAUGAUAGUAUUUGGAUGCUUUCUACCCAAAGGCCAUGUAAUGCCUGCAAACAUGUACCAGUCGGACAAAAUCCUCCGUGCACUGAAGAUGCCCUAUGAGAAGAUACAUGCCUGUGAGAAAGGAUGUGCCUUUUUUAGGCUUGACUAUGCGGACUUGAACUAUUGUCCCAUUUGCAAGUCUUCCAGGUAUGUUGUGGUAGACAACGAUAUGGGUGAGAAGACAGAGACCAAAAUCCCCGUUAGUGUUAUUUGGUAUAUGCCAUCAUACCAAGACUUCAACGUAUUUUCAUGGUCGAAGAGACGGCCAGACAGAUGACAUGGCACAAAACAGGCAAAAGAACUGAACUAGAUGCAGAUGAGAAUCUGAUGAUGGUACACACAUCGGAUGGUGUUGCGUGGAAAAAGUUUGACGAAUUACAUGCUGACAAAGCGGCAAAUCCGAGGCAUCCUCGAGUCGGCAUCAACACGGAUGGUGUGACACUCCAAUUUUUUUAAUCUUCAACAAAAACCUUGCUUGGUUUGAAAAAGGCCAUUUAAGUCCUUCCUAAAACCUCUCUCUCUCUCUCAAAACUUUUCCCCUUGGCAAGGACUUUGAUUUUUGUAUCUUCUGCAACCCUGGUAUUUCGUUAUUAAAAACCAUUCUUCUGAGUUUCCCAUCUCAAACAUAUUUCUUGGAUUUUAGUUUCUUUUAAAAGAAAACCCUAAGGGUUUUGGAGCUACUCUUUUGUUUUGAACCAUCCCUGGUUUUUACCAUGCCUCAUGUGGUAAAUUCUCCCAAAAACCCCUCCCUCCACUUUGGGGCAAUCAAAACAUCCUGUCCCAACAAGUUCAAUCCAUUUUUGGAUUUUAAUCCAUUUAUUUUUCUCCCCAAAACAAUUCUGUCAUUUAUUCUAAGCCUAGAUGCUUUACAAAGGAAGUGCCUGAUUUACUUUGAGUUUUGAUCUCAAACCAACUCUUCUGGAUAGUCCUUAGCACCCACAACCUGGACCCAUCAAGAUCCACUCUUUCUAUUUUCAAAAUUUUCAAGUUUCAACCUCUGCAAGUUUGGACCAGAUUCAUCAUUUUUGGUGAAAUUCAUAUUUUCCUCUAUCCAAAUAUUCCACCAAAAUUCAGGCAGCCCCCAGGUGCUUUGAGAGACCACCACACCAAAGAUCAGCCCCAGAUAAAUUUUUCUCAUGCCCGAAUCAUUUCAUCAAACACUUGGCCGGCACUGUUCCUGUGCACUUUCAGUAAAAUUCAGAGUUCAGAGUUAUCUUCAGUGUCGUUUUCAUCAGUGACUUGUCACCGAUCACCCGUGCACCCUGGCGCAUUGCGCACGGCCCCUUCUCUCUGGCCAGAGCACCGCACGCCCUCUUGGACAGACGCAGGUGUCGGUGGCGGCGAGCAUCGCCGACGUCGACAGCUUCUGCGGUGGCAGAGCCACCCGCGGCGGCCAACGGAGCCAGCACCGGCUUGCUACGCCGUUCUGCGUCGCCCAACGCUCCCUAGCCCUCCGCGUGGCCUCAUGCAUGCCAGCACACACCGCAGCACCGUCGCCGUGGCCCGGCAAGCACAGGGCGCGCCCUCUGCCGCCGACGGGCCCACGCCGCCCCGUUCUGCCGAAACCACCCAGCAGGCCCAAUCCAGCCUGGGUUAGAUGCUAAACGGAGCCCGUGGACCUCCACGUCGAUGAUCAACCUCCUAAUCUCCCCGACCAAGCACUGCGCCGCCGUAACCAUCGCCGGAGAUCCCCGUUCUUGGCCACCGCCUCGGAUCACCUAUAAAAUGGAGUCUCGAGCUCGUUCUCGAGCACGCACCACCACUGCACCCCACCAGUACCCCGCUAAGCCACUAGGAGGACCUCGAGGAGGUCUCCUCCCCCAACUCCGGCCGCCCCGAUCCGCCUCGGCCACCAGCUCGAUCCACUCCGGUGAGGCCACCCUCGCCUCGUCAGUAGUCUCCUCGGGAACCCAGUGACCUAACCCCGGCUUCAAUUUGACCUCCGCAGCCCUCCCCGACGAGAUCGAACUCCACCCGAGCCGCCGUCUGGCGGAGCAAGGACCGCCAUUGACGUGGUGCUCGCUGACGACCACCACCACCACCCACCGACGCGGAAGGACACCCUAAGCACGUAGGUACUCUCCGAUCCUCCCAACUCGCCAUGGAUCGCCGCCGGCGACCAACGCAACUCUCGGGCGCCGACGAGCUCUGUUCCUCCCCUUUGAAAAUUCAAACCUGACGGGUGGGACCCCUCGUCAGUGAUUUCUCUUUUUCAAACCCCUUUCUGUUUUUUAUAAGUUGGCCCCUGGAAACUUUCUGUUUCAUUACAAAUGAGUCCCCGGACUUAAAACCAUUAUAACUUUUAAACAAAAACUGAUUUUUGAUUGAUUCUUUUUCUGUCAUCUUUAUUUUUCUGUCUAGUUUUUUGUCAUGUUUAUUUCAAAAAUAUUUGGAACACUUUUCUGUGCACUCGCGGUAUUUACGAUGAGUACAUAUUUUCUUAUACCGUAGAUACCGGAGGAGGUGACGGAACCGCGAUCUUCGCCAAGCUAGACUCCGACUACUCCAAACCAGGCAAGCAUGUUUGAACUUUUGAUAUGAUGAGUGGUUGUUGCAUGUUUGCAUUUAGUAGUUUCAUGGCAUGUUUAUGAGCAUUUCGAUAAAUGUUAUAUUUCAUGCAAAGAUGAGGCAAGUGAGUUUCGAAAAUCCAUAUGUUGUUGGAUAUAAGUUUGCAUGGCCAUGUGAUGGCAUGAGAAUGGGUAAGAUGGUAGUGUUGUAGCAUGCCAGUCUUAGGCCAGACUUUUUGACUUCAGUAUCAACGUGAAUCAAGUCACGUUCCCAUUCGUUUCCCUUCUUGUACUACCACAUGUUUUCCGCAAGGGAUAUGGCUUAGUAAGUUGCAAACCGCUUUCCUGGUACACACCAAAUAGAGAGGCCGUGAUGAGGGUUCCAUGGCCAUGGAUUAAAGCCUGUCAUCUGGUCAGGGGGCAUGGGUGUUUCCAGUUGGGACCGAGAGGGGGGCACCCCUUAGAGCGCGCGUAUAUAAAUUUGAUCCCCGUCUCAAAGUUUUUCUUGGACGUUGUCUAGGGUGAUUCCUGGCAUCAUGAGGUGGAAUGGGUGUGUACUGGUUAGAUGUGUUUCUACCGAAAUACCAUAAACGGAACUAGUCCUUCGUGACUACGGAAAUCCGUUGGCUGUGGGCAAUCAGUACAAACUCUACAGAGUCAAGAAAAUCCUUUGAAUCAUCUUGUACAUGUCCAAGUACUGUGUUCAUCUUAUCUUGUCAAAUGUCAGUCAUAGUGACAAAACUCCGGUGAACCACAUGGGUGUUAAGUCCGGUUAAAAGUUUAUUCCGUGGAUGGACUAACCCGUCUAUUAUUAUGUGUUGAAUAUUUCCUAUGAGUAUUAUAUCUUCGUGAAUCUAUCAGAUAGGAAAAAUGAAAUAUAAGCCCUUUCUGCGAUGUCGCUCAGACGUCCGACUGUGGCACACUUGUUAUUUACUUUUGAUAUAAGCCCUUUCUGCGAUGUCGCUCAGACGUCCGACUGUGGCACACUUGUUAUUUACUUUUGAGAUAAGCCCUUUCUGCGAUGUCGCUCAGACGUCCGAUUGUGGCACACUUGUUAUUUACUUUUGAUAUAAGCCCUUUCUGCGAUGUCGCUCAGACGUCCGACUGUGGCACUCUUGUUAUUUACUUUUGAUAUAAGUCCUUUCUGCGAUGUCGCUCAGACGUCCGACUGUGGCACACUUGUUAUGUACUUUUGAUAUACGCCCUUUCUGUGAUGUCGCUCAGACGUCCGAUUGAGGCACGCUUGUUAUUUACUUUUCAACAUAAGCCCUUUAUGUGGUGUCGCUUAGACGCCCAACUGCGGCAUGAUUAUUUAUUUGUUUACCUUUCGAGGCGUCGCUCCAGACACCCGAUCGGUCUUCAGUUAUUUGUUGGGAUUUUGGGAGGACUACCGCCCGACUUCCUUUUUACUUAUCAUGUCGUGCAAUUAUUUAUUAUUUGAAUAAGCAUUGUUAGUUUUCUCAUAAUGCAUUCAUGCAUGCAUUUGUUAUAUCUUAUGUCCGAACUGUCUUGCGAGUACUUUCAAAGUACUCACCUGGCUUGUUGAUUUGGCCAGAUGUUGAUGAAGGCGAUCUCAUGGAUGAAGAGUUCGAUAGCGAGUCCGAAGCCUAGAGGAGUCCCAGUCAGUCUCGUGCAAUCCUGGAUUUGGUCACUGUAUUAUAUUCGCUUCCGUUACCCCAAAAUAAAUUCAUCGAGCCUCACCUCGACGCUCGAUGAGCUGCCAGUUUAGGAGUCAUGUUAUCCACCACCACUUUUAUCUCGAGUCAGUAGCAUGUCACCACACCUCUGUGUCAUAACCGCCCUUAUGUACAAUAUUGGCGUGUUUGUAAUAUGUUGUUGAGCAACCUCAGCUCAACCCUGUAAUAUAUUUGAUGCUACUGGCCUUCUGUAUUCAAGUAUUUGUCUACCAGUAAGGAUAACUCUUCCUAUACUGGGAUCAAAAGAUCGAUUUCUCAAUAAGUAUUUUAUUGAAAAACCGAUCAUGACAAACUUGGUACCAGAGCCGGGCUGACUGUAGGAAGCCACUAGGUGCGAUCGCUAAUCGGUUAUUAGCAUAGUAGAGUUUAUUCAUAUUUUUACAAAUGUAGUCAUUUUCUGACAGUCAGCAUAAAUUUAUGAUCUGGCCAUUCAGAAUUUUUGCCUACUUUUGUAGAUGGCUGGCAAUGACUGUGAGUCACAGGUGUUCGCCAACGUGCCUGAGGGGUUCGUCAAACUCCUCUCCUUCAUCGUCCAGGCCGCGAUGGGGCCGUCAGUGCGCCCAGUCUUCACACUCUACCCACACAAGAUCAACGACAGUCUGACCAUGCACCAGGCCGCGGUGCAAUUCAAGGGAGGGUGUGUUGAGUUACGCCGCUUCCGGUUCUUGGGGAGAGCCAUGCCUACGGAGAGGCAUGCUAUGUAGAUGGCUACCCGUGAGGCGAUAGCUCGUCUCCGGGAUGUUCUUCCUUCAAUGAAGACUCGUCGCUACCGCUACCUUCCACGCCACGUGCCAUACACCUGUCACUAGUCAUUCGCUUGCCCCAGAGGAGAGCGAUACGAGGCUUUUGAGAUGCUUGUCGAGUACCUCCAAGCUCUGGAGGCAUCCUUCAACAACCUGGUGGACGACCUUGUAGCUGCCCGCAUGGACUCAGUUCAUGGCUGUGCCGCCAACAGGAGGGAGCUCCUGCACACCGCUCCACCGCUGACUUUCAUCUCGUCCUCGGCAUCUCAUUCACCUACCAUUCUCGCCAUUGCUCGUCGCCUGCCUACCACCGAGGAGUUCAACCAAGUCAUUGCACCCACUCCAGUUCGUUCUGCACCACCUAUUGCGCCCACUCCUAUUCGUGUUACUCUGCCUAUGGCGCCCGCUCCAUCAGCUCAGCGCAGCACUUCACGUCUGGAGCCUAUUAGCGAGGAGGAAGUUGAGACCCCAGCCUCACUACGCCUCACCCUCGGCAGGCCAAGGGAGAUCCUCACCAUCUCCGACUGAGUACGCUUAGCCGCCAUGCGAUGUACCGACUUGUGCUAUAUGUUUAUAUGUACAUAGGUUGUGAGAAGUAGCUUGUUUGCGCAUCAUGUAGGGACUGGGAGAAGUGCACUAGCCUAAAUAACAUGUCAGGAAUAUGUACGCAUAUCCUGAGUGAUGUAUUGUAUAAUUACUGCUUGCGUGUAAGAUAUGUAAUAGUCCUUCUCCGUGCGCAAACGUUUAUGUUUUUGAAAAAUCCUAGAGCUUUUAAAAUUUCCGUAUUUGUGAAUUUAUUGACUGUUGUGACUCAUUUUCUUUUCUUACGAGUUUUACAAAAUAUAUCCCCAGAGUGAAAGAUGUCUCGUCCUUGGACGCGCUCCAUGCCAAUUCCGCCAAAGGAAAAUUAUGGCACACCACCAAACAAAAAUUUCACACAGGGGCAGUCAAGUCAACAGGGCAGUGAAACAUCAUUUACCCAAGUAUGCCGCCUUUAUGAACAGAGUCAGCAACAACAUCAGGAAAUGAUGAACCAAGUCAUCAAUAUGGGAAAUCACCAUGGACAGUAUCAGCAACAAUCCAAGUUGUCUGAGCUACAGAAGACGCGUCCCCCAACAUUUUCUCAUACUGACAAACCUCUUGAGGCCGACGACUGGCUUCGAUACAUGGAAAGAAAAUUAAUUAUUGCACAAUAUUCAGACCGUGAGAAAGUAUUAUAUGCACCACACUAUAUCACUAGAGCAGCUGCAUCAUGGUGGGAAAAUUUCCUACACAUGCACCCCAACGAAAAUGAAAUAACCUGGGAGGAAUUCAAAGAAGGUUUUCGUGGGGCACACAUUCCUAAAAGUGUUAUGAAGAUCAAGAAGAGAGAAUUUGAUGACCUCAAACAAAGGACCAUGACGGUGUCAGGAUACAACAGCCAGUUUACUCUGCUGUCUCGCUACGCCAACGAAGAGCGUAUGACUGAAAGCAAGAAGAUGGAAAAAUACUUGGAAGGCCUGGCACCCGCGCUGAGAUGCCAGCUGGUUGUGCACACCUUCCCAGAUUUCAAAACACUGGUGGAUAAGGCUAUUACCUUGGAAAAUGAGCGACGCAGCUUGGAGGAUUUCUGCAAACGAAAAAGGGACCAGACUACUCUUGCUCGCAACCACCGGAGCAAGACGGAUUUUCAGAAAGGUGGGACACACAAACCCACGACGAAUAAUUCACACCCAAUCAAGAAUUUCCAUGCAAGGGACAAGGAGUUCACAUAUCACCCAUGCGUUACUUGCUACGCAUGUGGAGAAGAAGGGCACUAUGCCAAACAGUGCCCCAAGCCAAGGAACUCAACCCCAAAGCCGAACAACGGUGGCAAUAAUUCAGCGCCCAAGCGAAACAAUUUCAACCCCAAUAACAACCACAGGAAGGGUCAUCUGAACCACGUGACCAAAGAAGAAGCACAAAAUGCCCCGGAUAUCGUACUCGAUACGUUCCCCAUCAACACAAUACCUGCCACAGUUUUGUUUGAUUCUGGAGCUUCUCACUCGUUCAUUUCGAAGAGAUUUGCUUUGCAAAAUAAUUUUUCGAUGCUUCCCUUGGAAAAAUCCAUGAUCGUCAAGUCCCCUAGGAUUAAGCAAGUGACCCAGAGUUACUGUCAAGGUGUGGUUAUUGAAUUUGAAGGAUUGAAGUUUUACGCCAACCUUAUUGUAUUGGAAAAUAAAGGACGAGAUGUCAUCCUAGGGAUGGAUCGGUUAACCACCAACAAAGGUUUUAUUGACUGCUUGAACCGGACCGUAAUUCUCACCCACCAUCACGGGAAGACAAUAAAGGUUUUAGCCAAAGAAAGACAAAUAUCUCGGCAACCGAGGUUAAACAAGGUGGACGUUUCUGAGUUAAGCAAGGUUCCAGUAGUGUGUGAAUUUCCAGACGUAUUUCCCAAAGAACUACCAGGCAUGCCACCAGACCGAGAGAUAGAAUUCAGCAUUGAGCUAGCACCUGGAACCGCUCCCAUUUACAAGAAACCAUACAGAAUGGAACCAUCCGAGUUGGUAGAAUUGAAGAAGCAAAUAAAAGAAUUGUUGGACAAAGGAUACAUACGAGCCAGUUCCUCACCUUGGGGUUCAUCGAUUUUAUUUGCCAAGAAAAAGGAUGGGACACUGAGAUUGUGUAUAGACUAUCAAGCACUUAACAUGGUCACAAUCAAGAACAAAUACCCAAUGCCACGGAUAAAUGAUUUAUUUGAUCAGCUCGCUCAGGCCAAAGUCUUCUCAAAAAUUGACUUAAGGUCGGGAUACCAUCAAUUAAAAGUGCCAACAGAAGAUAUCCCCAAGACAGCCUUCACCUCCAUAUAUGGACUGUAUGAGUUCACAGUAAUGCCGUUGGGACUAACAAAUGCCCCCGCAUAUUUUAUUCACCUCAUGAACAAAGUAUUUAUGAAGUUUAUGGACAAGUUUGUUGUGGUAUUCAUCGAUGAUAUUCUGAUAUACUCCAAGACACCAGAAGAGCACGCUGAACAUCUCAGAAUUGUACUAGGAGAACUCAGGAAACAUCAACUGUACGCCAAGUUCAGCAAAUGUGAAUUUUGGCUAAGACAGGUGGGUUUUCUGGGCCACGUACUGACCCAAGAAGGUAUUGCCGUAGACCCGGAAAAGGUCAAGGCCGUACUUGGCUGGAAACCACCAGCCAGCGUAACGGACGUACGAAGUUUCUUGGGAAUGGCAGGAUACUACCGAAAAUUUAUUGAAGGAUUCUCCACCAUAGGAAAGCCAAUGACGCAGUUACUCAAGAAAGACAAGAAGUUUGAAUGGACGGAAGCUUGCGAGAAAAGCUUCCAAGAACUAAAAAGGAAAUUAACAACGGCACUAGUAUUAAUUGUGCCAGACAUACACAAGAAUUUUGAGGUGUAUUGUGACGCAUCCCGGAAGGGCCUCGGAUGCGUAUUGAUGCAAGAAGGCAAGGUAGUCACGUAUGUCUCCACACAGCUUCGCAAGCAUGAAGAAAAUUAUCCUACUCAUGACCUAGAGUUGGCAGCAGUCAUCCAUGCACUCAAAGAAUGGAGACACUUUCUACUUGGAAAUUGUUGUGAAAUAUACACAGACCAUAAGAGCCUCAAGUAUAUUUUCACACAGCCGGAACUCAAUUUACGGCAACGACGCUGGUUGGAAUUAGUGAAGGAUUAUGAUGUUGGAAUCCACUAUCAUCCAGGAAAAGCAAAUGUAGUGGCAGAUGCCCUUAGUCAGAACCCCAGCUCGGGCAACGACAGUAUACCAAAAUUGAGACCAGAAUUUCAACAGGAAUUUGCCAAACUCAACUUAAUAAUGGUCACCGAAGGCAGUGUGUCGAAUUUGGAAAUACAGCCUACUCUGAUUGAAAAGAUUAAGGAGGAUCAGCGUGGACACCCCAACAUUGAAGGCAUAAAAAGAAAAGCGAGUUUGAGCAGGGCCUCAGAAUUCGUCAUAGACGAGCAGGGAAUAUUGUGGUACAGAGAUAGACUUUGCGUACCAAAUGUCGAGGACCUCAAACACCAAAUUCUAGCUGAAGGCCACACCACUCCAUAUUCAAUCCAUCCUGGAGGAAAAAAAAUGUACAAGGACCUUCAGGAAUUUUUUUGGUGGCACGGUAUGAAAAGGGACAUAGCCACAUUCAUUGCAUGUUGUGAUUCUUGUCAACGCAUCAAGGCCGAGCACCAGAAACCAGCCGGACUAUUACAGCCAAACAAGAUACUCGAGUGGAAAUGGGACGAGAUUGGAAUGGAUUUUAUUGUUGGGCUACCUCGGUCACGACAUGGAAAUGAUGCCAUAUGGGUCAUCACCGACAGAUUAACUAAGGUGGCACAUUUUAUCCCGGUGAAGACAACUCACACCACUCAGAAGCUUGCCCGGCUUUAUCUUGCCCGUAUCAUCUGCCUGCAUGGGGUCCCAAAGACUAUAAUAUCUGACAGAGGCACACAAUUCGUCUCUAGGUUUUGGGAUCACCUACAACAGGCACUAGGAACUCAACUAGCUUUCAGUACCGCAUACCACCCCCAGACUGAUGGACAGACAGAACGCGUAAACAAAAUUCUAGAAGACAUGCUGAGAGCAUGUGUCCUCACCUAUGGGACCAGUUGGGAAGAAAGCUUGCCAUACGCAGAGUUCGCAUACAACAACAGCUACCAAGCCAGCCUGCAAAUGGCACCAUUUGAAGCUCUGUACGGGCGAAGAUGUCAUACACCACUAAAUUGGUCAGAAACCGGAGACAGCCAUAUCUUCGGCCCAGAUAUGCUCAAGGAGGCUGAGGAAAAAGUUAAGAUGAUUAGGGAUCGACUCAAGACCGCUCAAAGUCGACAAAAGAGUUAUUACGAUAGAAAGCAUCAGGGAAUCAGUUUUGAACCCGGAGAGUUUGUGUACCUACGAGUAUCUCCUAUGAGGGGCCUGCAACGAUUCAAGGUUAAUGGAAAGCUAGCACCAAGAUUCAUCGGACCAUUCUGUAUAGUGGCCCGAAGAGGCACGGUAGCCUACCAGCUAGACUUACCCGAAGAAUUAUCCGAUGUCCACGACGUGUUCCACGUCUCGCAGUUGAGGAAGUACAUGAGCAACCCAGAGAAGCAAGUAUCCCAUGAAAACAUUGACGUGCAAACAGACCUCACCUACCGAGAACGUCCAAUAAAAAUAUUAGAGAAGUCUGAAAGGAGGACCCGACAGAAAACCAUUAAGUUUUUCAGAGUUCAGUGGAGCAAUCACACCAAGAAUGAAGCAACUUGGGAAAGAGAGGAUUUUCUUCGGACAGAGCACCCACACUUGUUUGAGGAUCAGCUGAAAUCUCGGGGACGAGAUUUUUCCUAAGGGGGUAGGUGUUGUGACACUCCAUUUUUUUUAAUCUUCAACAAAAACCUUGCUUGGUUUGAAAAAGGCCAUUUAAGUCCUUCCUAAAACCUCUCUCUCUCAAAACUUUUCCCCUUGGCAAGGACUUUGAUUUUUGUAUCUUCUGCAACCCUGGUAUUUGGUUAUUAAAAACCUUUCUUCUGAGUUUCCCAUCUCAAAAACAUUUCUUGGAUUUUAGUUUCUUUAAAAGAAAACACUAAGGGUUUUGGAGCUACUCUUUUGUUUUGAACCAUCCCUGGUUUUUACCAGGCCUCAUGUGGUAAAUUCUCCCAAAAACCCCUCCCUCCACUUUGGGGCAAUCCAAACAUCCUGUCCCAACAAGUUCAAUCCAUUUUUGGAUUUUAAUCCAUUUAUUUUUCUCCCCAGAACAAUUCUGUCAUUUAUUCUAAGCCUAGAUGCUUUACAAAAAGUGCCUGAUUUACUUUGAGUUUUGAUCUCAAACCAACUCUUCUGGAUAGUCCUUAGCACCCACAACCUGGACCCAUCAAGAUCCACUCUUUCUAUUUUCAAAAUUUUCAAGUUUCAACCUCUGCAAGUUUGGACCAGAUUCAUCAUUUUUGGUGAAAUUCAUAUUUUCCUCUCUCCAAAUAUUCCACCAAAAUUCAGGCAGCCCCCAGGUGCUUUGAGAGACCACCACACCAAAGAUCAGCCCCAGAUAAAUUUUUCUCAUGCUCGAAUCAUUUCAUCAAACACUUGGCCGGCACUGUUCCUGUGCACUUUCAGUAAAAUUCAAAGUUCAGAGUUAUCUUCAGUGUCGUUUUCGUCAGUGACUUGUCACCGAUCACCCGUGCACCCUGGCGCAUUGCGCACGGCCCCUUCUCCCGGGCCAGAGCACCGCACGCCCUCUUGGACGGACGCAGGUGUCGGUGGCGGUGAGCAUCACCGACGCCGGCAGCUUCUGCGGUGGCAGAGCCACCCGUGGCGGCCAACGGAGCCAGCACCGGCUCGCUACGCCGUUCUGCGCCGCCCAAUGCUCCCUAGCCCUCCGCAUGGCCUCAUGCAUGCCAGCACACACCGCAUCACUGUUGCCAUGGCCCGGCAAGCACAGGGCGCACCCUUUGCCGCCGACGGGCCCGCGCCGCCCCAUUCUGCCGAAACCACCCAGCACGCCCAAUCCAGCCUGGGUUAGAUGCUAAACGGAGCCCGUGGACCUCCACGUCGAUGAUCAACCUCCUAAUCUCCCCGACCAAGCACUGCGCCGCCGUAACCAUCGCCAGAGAUCCUCGUUCUCGGCCACCGCCUUGGAUCACCUAUAAAAUGGAGUCCCGAGCUUGUUCUCGAGCACGCACCAUCACUGCACCCCACCAGUACCCCGCCAAGCCACUAGGAGGACCUCGAGGGGGUCUCCUCCCCCAACUCCGGCCGCCCCGAUCCGCCUCGGCCACCAGCUCAAUCCACUCCGGUGAGGCCACCCUCGCCGCCCUAACCUCGUCAGUAGUCUCCUCGGGAACCCAGUGACCUAACCCCGGCUUCAAUUUGACCUCCGCAGCCCUCCCGACGAGAUCGAACUCCACCCGAGCCGCCGUCCGCUGGAGCAAGGACCACCAUCGAUGUGGUGCUCGCCGACGACCACCACCACCACCCACCGACGCGGAAGGACACCCUGAGCACGUAGGUACUCUCUGAUCCUCCCAACUCGCCGUGGAUCGCCGCCGGUGACCACCGCAGCUCUCGGGCGCCGACGAGCUCUGUUCCUCCCCUUUGAAAAUUCAAACCUGACGGGUGGGACCCCUCGUCAGUGAUUUCUCUUUUUCGAACCGUUUUCUGUUUUUUAUAAGUUGGCCCCUGGAAACUUUCUGUUUCAUUACACAUGAGUCCCUGGACUUAAAACCUUUAUAAAUUUUAAACAAAAACUGAUUUUUGAUUGAUUCUUUUUCUGGCAUCUUUAUUUUUCUGUCUAGUUUUUUGUCAUGUUUAUUUGAAAAAUAUUUGGAACACUUUUCUGUGCACUCGCGGUAUUUACAAUAAGUACGUAUUUUCUUAUACCGUAGAUACCGGCGGAGGUGACGGAACCGCGAACUUCGCCAAGCUAGACUCCGACUACUCCGAACCAGGCAAGCAUGUCUGAACUUUUGAUAUGAUGAGUGGUUGUAGCAUGUUUGCAUUUAGUAGUUUCAUGGCAUGUUUAUGAGCAUUUCGAUAAAUGUUAUAUUUCAUGUAAAGAUGAGGCAAGUGAGUUUCAAAAAUCCAUAUGUUGUUGGAUAUAAGUUUGCAUGGCCAUGUGAUGGCAUGAGAAUGGGUAAGAUGGCAGUGUUGUAGUAUGCCAGUCUUAUGCCAGACUUUUUGACUUCAGUAUCAACGUGAAUCAAGUCACGUUCCCAUUCGUUUCCCUUCCUGUACUACCACAUGUUUUCCGGAAGGGAUAUGGCUUAGUAAGUUGCAAACCGCUUUCCUCGUACACACCAAAUAGAGAGGCCAUGAUGAGGGUUCCAUGGCCCUGGAUUAAAGCCCGUCAUCCGGUCAGGGGGCAUGCGUGUUUCCGGUUGGGACCGAGAGAGGGGCACCCCUUAGAGCACGCGUAUAUAAAUUUGAUCCCAUGCUAUUCGAGGUUGUGACCUCCCCGUCUCAAAGUUUUUCUUGGACGUUGUCUAGGGUGAUUCCUGGCAUCGUGACGUGGAAUGGGUGUGUACUGGUUAGAUGUGUUUCUACCGAAAUACCGUAAACGGAACUAGUCCUUCGUGACUACAGAAAUCCGUUGGCUGCGGGCAAUUAGUACAAACUCUACAGAGUGAAGAAAAUCCUUUGAAUCAUCUUGUACAUGUCCAAGUACUGUGUUCAUCUUAUCUUGUCAAAUGUCAGUCACAGUGACAAAACUCCAGUGAACCACAUGAGUGUUAAGUCCGGUUAAACAUUUAUUCCGUGGAUGGACUAACCCGUUUAUUGUUAUGUGUUGAAUAUUUCCUAUGAGUAUUAUAUCUUCGUGAAUCUAUCAGAUAAGAAAAAUGAAAUAUAAGCCCUUUCUGCAAUGUCGCUCAGACGUCCGACUGUGGCACACUUGUUAUUUACUUUUGAUAUAAGCCCUUUCUGCGAUGUCGCUCAGACGUCCGACUGUGGCACACUUGUUAUUUACUUUUGAGAUAAGCCCUUUCUGCGAUGUCGCUCAGACGUCCGACUGUGGCACACUUGUUAUUUACUUUUGAUAUAAACCCUUUCUGCGAUGUCGCUCAGACAUCCGACCGUGGCACUCUUGUUAUUUACUUUUGAUAUAAGCCCUUUCUGCGAUGUCGCUCAGAUGUCUGACUGUGGCACACUUGUUAUGUACUUUUGAUAUACGCCCUUUCUGUGAUGUCGCUCAGAUGUCCGACUGAGGCACGCUUGUCAUUUACUUUUCAACAUAAGCCCUUUAUGUGGUAUCGCUUAGACGCCCAACUGCGGCAUGAUUAUUUAUUUGUUUACCUUUCGAGGCGUUGCUCCAGUUACCCGAUCGGUCUUCAGUUAUUUGUUGGGAUUUCGGGAGGACUACUGCCCGACUUCCUUUUUACUUAUCAUGUCGUGCAAUUAUUUAUUAUUUGAAUAAGCAUUGUUAGUUUGCUCAUAACGCAUUUAGGCAUGCAUUUGUUAUAUCUUAUGUCCGAACUGUCUUGCGAGUACUUUCAAAGUACUCACCUGGCUUGUUGAUUUGGCCAGAUGUUGAUGAAGGCGAUCUCAUGGAUGAAGAGUUCGAUAGUGAGUCCGAUGCCUAGAGGAGUCCCAGUUAGUCUUGUGCGAUCCUGGAUUUGGUCACUGUAUUAUAUUCGCUUCCGCUACCCCAAAAUAAAUUCAUCGAGCCUCACCUCGACGCUUGAUGAGCUGCCAGUUUAGGAGUCAUGUUAUCCACCACCACUUUUAUCUCGAGUCAGUAGCAUGUCACCACACCUCUGUGUCAUAACCGCCCUUAUGUACAAUAUUGGCGUGUUUGUAAUAUGUUGUUGAGCAACCUCAGCUCAACCCUGUAAUAUAUUUGAUGCUACUGGCCUUCUGUAUUCAAGUAUUUGUCUACCAGUAAGGAUAACUCUUCCUAUACUGGGAUCAAAAGAUCGCUUUCUCAAUAAGUAUUUUAUUGAAAAACCGGUCAUGAUAGAUGGGUUCAGUGUGUUUGGUAUGACGGCAACCAAAUAUAGUUGUUCUCCUGUAUUUGUCUUUCCACGCAAUCUUCCCCCCGGACAGAUAAGCAGAGAAAGAACAUUUUCCUGACAUUGAUAAUUCCAGGGCCAAACUAUCCUGGAAAAAAUAUGAAUGUGUACAUGCAGCCACUUAAGGACGAAUUGCAAGAAGCCUGGGAUAAUGGGUUCAAGACAUACGACGCCUAUAGCAAACAGAACUUCAUAAUGCGUGUCUGGUACAUGUACUCGAUGCAUGACUUACCGGCGUAUGUGCUAUUCGUUGGCUGGUGUGUGCAUGGAAGGUUCCCGUGCCCCACAUGCAAGGGAGCUCUUGAGUUUCAUUGGCUUCAAGCUGGUCGCAAGUUUUCUUGCUUCGAGACAGUUCCUGGAUCCUUGCCAUAAGUUCAGGAAAGACAAGAAGAACUUAAUCAGAGGUAGAGUUGUCAAAAACUCUACACCACCUGCAUUGACAGGCCAACAGACCUUGGAUCAGUUAAACACUCUGGAGCCAGAUCCAGAACGUCCAGGGUACUUCAAGGGGUAUAAUUCUAAGCACGCCUGGACUCACAAGACAUGCUUAUGGGAUCUGCCUUACUUCAAAGACCUCCUUUGCCCACACAACAUCGACGUGAUGCACACUGAGAAGAAUAUCACCGAGGCACUUUUUGGUAUAUUGUUCGGCAUAGAUGGGAAGUCAAAGAAUAAUACUAAGGCUAGAGUCGAUUUGGAGGCGCUAUGUGAUAGGCCGUUACAAAACACGAAAGAACCGAAAGGAAAGCAGAACUGGACGAAGCCAAAGGCAUGGUUCAAUCUUGGAAGGCCAGCUAUGAGGGAAAUUAUCUUGUGGGUGAAAAUGCAGUUGAUGUUCCCUGAUGGGUAUGCAGUGAAUCUAAAGAGGGGAGCGAGUCUUGAUAAAUUGAAGAUAUUUGGUCUCAAGAGUCAUGAUUGACACAUAUGGAUUGAGCGGGUAAUGCCGGUGAUGUUGCGUGGCUUCAUCCCUGAGGAUGAAUGGCUAGUACCGGUAGAACUCAGCUAUUUCUUCCCUGUUCUUUGUGCGAAAGAACUAUCGCCUGGCAUGCUAGAAGAAAUGGAAGAGUUGGCGCCGGAGUUGAUCUGCAAGUUAGAGAAGAUCUUUCCACCGGGCUUCUUUAAUCCAAUGCAGCAUUUGAUUUUGCAUCUCCCGACCGAGGCAAGAUUGGGGGGGGGGGGCCCGUGCAAAAUCAUUGGUGCUACCCAACUGAGAGGAUGCAGAAGACGCUUCGAGAAAAAUGUAAAAAUAAACGUAGAAUUGAAGCAUCGAUGACUGAGGCAUUCAUCACUGAGGAGGCGGCAAACUUCAUGAUAGCACACUACGAAGCCAAAAAUCGUCAUUUGCAUAAUCCGAAGCCUCGGUACAAUGCUGAUGACCCUAAAAAGGGUGGAUCCAACCUCAGCCUAUUAAAAGGGAAUCUCGCACUAGCCAGUGUCUCAAAUCCAGUAUCUUUGGAUAACGAAGAAUGGCAGACCAUUUCGUUGUAUAUCUUCAACAACCUGAUAGAAGUGCGGCCGUACAUCGAGUAAGUUCUUGGUACAUUGUUUCACAACUUCUAUUUCCUUUGAACUGCUCUUAUUCCUGGAUAUUUCAUAGAGUCGAUACGUCGCCAUAUUCUCGUAUGGAGCGGUGAUCCAAAAGGAUUCUGUCGAAGAGUAUGAGCUUCUCGCAAAGCAAGGAGGCGGCUAUCCCAGUUUCAUCUCUUGGUUCAAACAAACGGUAAUUUCUAUUAGACAAUUUCAUUUCAUUCGCUAAUUUGUGCAUAAUGCAAUAAUCCUUUCGUAUUAAACUUGUAGGCUAAUUCAGAGUCUAUGGACGCCGAAUUGAGACAAGUCGCUAAUGGUUUUGACUAUAAGGUCCGUUCAUUUGACAAAUACGACAUCAAUGGGUAUCGCUUUCGUACCUAUGGCAAAGAGCUAUCUAUGGCCGACCGAAAGUCCACAAAUUGUUGUGUAUCUGCUAUCGGCGAAGGAGGUACCGAGUAUUAUGGGAGAGUUGAAGCAAUUUAUGAACUUCUAUUCUAUGGUGAAAACCCACGGAAUGUCGUAGUCUUCAAAUGUUAUUGGUUUCAGCCGAAGGAGACUAGAAGGACUCAUGAACAUAUAGGGCUAGUUGAAAUCAACCAAAGCACCCAUUUAGAUGUUCCCGAUGUCUAUAUUACGGCUCAACAGGCGACCCAAGUAUUAUUCUAUCUACCGUGGGCCUACCAAACUAAUCCAAAUCUGAAAGGUUGGGAUGUCAUUUAUGAAGUGCCGCCACGUGCUAGACUAUCUCCCCCAAAGGAAGAGGAUUAUGAACCUCACAUUAACCCAGACACAUAUGAAGGAGAAUUCUUCCAAGAGACAUGUCUUUCCAAAAAGCGUUUCAAGAACCGCUAUACUUCACCCUAAAACAUUGAAGUAGACAGCGAUAGUGAAUCCGACAUCACCCCAGAGGAGGAACAAGAAGAGCCAGAACAAGAAGAGGUUACUGCUGCGGAUGACCUGUCAAUGCUUGACCGAUUAUGUCAAGGUGGCCUUCCACAUGUUGAUGCCACUGAACCCUAUGAGCCCGUCAUUGAUUAUAAUGAUGAUGAUGAUUAUGCAUUUAUUGAUGAUACUGAUCGAGAUUAUUAGUAGUGUCACGUAUUCAAUUUUUUUAUGUUGUACUUGAUGAUGAUACACUUAAGUGAUAUACAUAUUAUUAUUCAUGUCGGUAUUUUUUUAUGUUGUACUAAUUUCGUUUACUCUUUGUCAUGGCAGGUGUUGAAAGAUGGUGGGCGCUGGUCGGGAGCGCUCCGAGGCCCCUUCUUCGUCGGCACGUGGUGUGAGGUCUUCCAUUCCACACGCAACUCUCCGCUGAGCAUUGCUGGACAGUAUGGCGACACCGCCGGGCACUUCUUAGUUGACCGCGGUGCCGAGCAGGGGACGAGGUAAGAAGAAGAGAGGAGCUAGAGCACGUGGUCGUAGGAGAGGAGGUAGGGUGACUGCCAGGGCACCUUCCUCGCCACCAUCCCCAGCUGUUUCACCCGAGCACGUGACUGCUAGGAUAGACUCGUCCGAGGAGGAGGCUACACGGACUUCGGUCCAUGAUCCUCCGGUCCACGGGCCUUUGGCCCACGAGCCUCGGGUCGACGGGCCUUCGGGCCACGAGAGUUCGUCCCACGAGACCCUGGAGGAGCACAUGUCUGGAUGGGGUACCUGACCGGAUCAGCCUGAGGGGCCGAGUGGCCAUGCUGAUGAUGGUAGGGAGCCGACUGAUAUUGAGGAGGAGGGGGCACCAUCUACCAGUGUGGUUGUACACGGCUCCCGUCCAUGCCGGCGACCUGCGAGCAGAGGUGGUUGAUUUUCCCUGAUGGGGAGAGGUAAGUGCAUUUAAUCUUUUUGUACCCUUUUGCAUUCACGUUUCUUCAAAUAUCUAAUCCGUUGGCCUUGUCAUGCUGCAGGGGUUGGGACCACCAUCAUAGUGUUCGCCAUCCCAACUCCGUCCUUGGAGUUCUUUGUCGGCAAAACUUCCCGGGGCUUGUCACGUUGCCUGGUGAGGGUCGACUUCUAGAGCUUGGAUUGAGUUGGGAGCACUACUUGGCUGCCUCGGCCCCGCCGGGUGAGAUUAUCGAUGGUGUCUUGUGCAAGAUGAGGGCAGACAUGGUGAUCAGAAAGUUCUGGGUAAUUUCUCCUUUACACAAUUAAAAAUCUUCAACUAGCUAGUUACUAAUUGUACUAAUCAAUAUUUUCUCAUUUGAUUACAGACAUUCUACAUGUGUGAGGAGGGAUACGAGGAGGAAGCGGCAAAUGUUAUCGAUAAUGUCUGCAAGCGCCUACUACAGAACUUACGGCACGAGGCUUGGGUGCUGGCUGUUCGAGACUACUACGCCUCGCGUGGUAUCAAGAAGACCAAGCCGGCGUGCCGUGAGAAGUUCAGUAAGGAGGAGUACAUGAAGGUAAUUCUUAAGGCCUUGUACUUACUUCCUUCAUUUAGUAAUUCAUAGCCAUAGCGCUCAAGUUUCUAUUUGCUAACUUAGGCCCCUCCGAGAUGGUGUGCGGAUCGGAUGGAUUGUUGGGAGGUGUUGGUCAAUGAGUGGUGCUCAAAAGAAUGUCUAGCCCUCAACAACGAGGCCAAGGACAAACGUGCCCAAAUGGAAGGUGUGCCACACCAUCAAGGCAGCUCCAACUUAUAUCAGUUCGGGUGGAACUGGGUAUGUGGUUUGCUUCAUGAUUCAUGCAAUUCAUUCAUCAUGCUAGCUUUAGCUCUUUAAUUACUAAUUUACUUUCUUUCUCUCUUUCAGACACACUACAAUAAGGCGGAUAAGGUGCCAGAGGUGUACGACCUGUAUGCCAUGGCCCACACUGCCUCUUACAGGAAAGUCCAGGCAUUCUCUCCGUCUGACCUCGAUGAUCCAAAGAACUUCACCAACAUCUCCUCCCACGACAAGCUCGUGAAAUAUAGAGAUCAAGGGAAGGCGAGGAAAGGGUAGGAAUUUAACCCGAGCCAGGGUCCCACAGAGCUCCUGAUUAUAUCUGGUGGCGGGAUGUCCCAUGGCUCCAUAGCCAUGGGAGAUGGACUUAUUCGUUGUCCUAGCACUCUCCCGGAGAUCAAGGCGCACCAGUCGAGCUCCACUCCUAAGAUAAGGCCUCGUGAACGGCCAGUCCAACUCGCCUUGAAGGUUAGUUAUACGUACUCAACUAUCUUUCUCCAUUACAUUGUGUGCGCUUCCAUCAAUGAUUACAAAUGGUAAUGAGGAGUGGUGUUGCAGGCUGCUAUAUAGAGUGAGAGAGAUAGAACGGAGAAACUUAUGGCGGAGGUGGUGGAGAGGAAGCGGGAGUUGGAGGAGAGGAUGACAAAGAUGUUGGAGGAGGAGAGGGCACGGAAUGACAUGCAGGCAAGGGCCAUGUACGAGCUCCUCGUGGUAAGUUUUUUCUUUAGAUUAGCCAAAACAUUCAUGUAGUGUUUGUCUCAUUACUAACUAGUAUGACUCAGUCGUCAAAACCAAAUGUGCAGUCUGAGUGCGAGAAGUCCGGUCAGACCGCUCCGCCGAUGCUAGUGAUUACUCCUGGGACCACGGUGAGUUUAAUUUGAAUGGACAUUACUUGCUAGUCUUAACAUUUGAGUGUCAUCAUGCUAACGAGACAUUGGAAAUGAUCUUUGGUGCAGCGUAACUCCAGACAAGCAUCGCACGAUCCUUCUCCAGCUACCGGCACGAGCCAGCCCGCUCCUACAUCUCCAUGAUCACGGUAAGUUUCUCUAGUGUUUUGCUUAACAAAUGCAUAAAGACCUAAACUUAGCUUUAUUUCCUCCAAUAUGCUUACCAUAAUGACCUAAAGUUAGCUUCUUUUCCUCCAAAAUGACUUAAUAAGCUUACUGACCUCCAAAACCAUCCAUUUUACCUAAAUUAGCUCUAAAACGAUCUGUGCUUAGCUUACUUAUGUCAAAAAUGGCAUAAUUAGCUUAGUUAGCUCAUAAACGAUCCAUUUUACCUAAGUUAGCUCUAAAAUGACCCAUUUUACCUUACUUAGCUUAUAAAUGAUCCAUUUUUACCCAAGUUAGCUCUAAAAUGACCCAUUUUACCUAGAUUAGCUCCUAAAUGAUCCAUUUUACCUACGUUAGCUCUAAAAUGACCCAUUUUACCUACACUAGUAGAAAAAGGGGCAAAGGUCCAGGCCGGGUCAGCCCAUUAGUCCCGGUCAGUCCAGAACCGGGACCCAUGGGGGCAUUGGACCCGGUUCGUGAGCCCCGGGGGCCGGUCGGGCCACAUGGGCCAUUGGUCCCGGUUCAUCUGGACCUUUUGGUCCCGGUUGGUGGGACGAACCGGGACCAAUGGGCCUCACUCCUGGCCCACCACCAUUGGUCCCGGUUGGUGGCUUGAACCGGGACCAAAGGCUGCCCUUUAGUCCCGAUUCAUGCCACCAACCGGGACUAAUGAGGUGCCUAUAUAUACCCCCUCGCUUAAGAGAAGAGCACACUGCUCUGUUUUUUCUGGCCGCCGAGGGGGAGAGGGCUUGGUGGUGCUCUAGCUCACCUCCUAUGCACACAAGGUGUUCGAUGGAAUGCCCGAGCCACACUACGUAAGCUUUCUCCUCUCCAAGCUCGACCUCCAAACUCCAUUUUCCUCAAUAUUUGUCUAGGUUUAGCGGUCCGUCACGCCCCGUCCCCGUGUUCACCGCCGUCGAUCACUCGCGCCAAUCUCAUCGCCGGCACCACCGUGGUGAGCCUCUUGUUCUUAUCUUCUUUCUGAAAGGAAAAAUAUUCUUACUUGUAUGUUUAUAUAGAUACUUGUAUUAUUUUCUUACUUUUAUUAUUGCAUCUUAUAUAGUGCGAUGGUUUUGGUAUCCGCCCCCGUCGGUCCUUGUCCUGUCUAUGAUUCGGAUGUGGUAUAUAUUAUCUUUUCAUAACUAUUGGUUCAUUUAUUGUUUAUGACAAUUAUGCCGACCAACGUGACAUAGAUUUUAUUUAUCUAGGAGGUUGUUGAACCAGAAAUUCCAACUGACCCUAUUGUCGAGAGGUUAAAUUUAGUUGAAGAAGAAAACAAUUUCUUGAAGGAAAAAAUAAGAAAAAUUGAGGAGGAGAAGAUGAUAUUGGAGUUGCAUGUUGCGGAUGUCGUUGAUGAUCACAAGAUCAAGAUGGAUGCAAUGCGCUUGAAGAUUAGAAAGAUUAGAAAAUAUGCCAUUCAUACUGAGG
rnacentral:lncRNA from 1 species